UUGUGUUUGAGUGCAAGUAAUUCAAGAGACUCUAUAACAUUGGGUUUGAGCUCAGCUCAUCCCAGCGUGCCAGCCAGCAACAGCCCGUGCCGUGCCAUGCCUCAGCGUAUCAGCCCAUUCCAAGCUUCACGCGAUGAAGGUCCCAACCGAAGCCAUGCAGUCCCCAUGUCAAGCUCGUCUCCGUUCCUUCCGGCCGUUUCGAGCAAACACAUGUCCGAGCUCAAGUCAAACCAACAUCUUCACGUGAUGGAGCUCAUCCCGUGAUUCAGCCAUCCGUGAAUCACACCCCCCCCCCCCCCCCCCCACUCCACCGGAUCCACGUUCUCCUCCUCUUCCGUAAUCUAGCCUCCCACGCCCGUCCGCGUGAUCCAAGCAUCGCGCUCAGCCGCUCNNNNNNNNNNNNNNNNNNNNAAUCGUCGAGUUUAUUUGUUGAAAGUAAAAUUGUCAAGGGAGAUUCUGGAUCCCUAGCCAUCUUCAUAUUAUCGAACUUUGUUUAAUUAUCCAUUAAUUCUCUGUUUUUAAUUUUUAAAUAUCAACUAAAAAUCACAUCUAAAAAUUACGCUAAUAAUCCAUAGAUCGUUCCCUGAGGAAUCGACCUCGGACUUCUGAGUUAUACUACUUGUGCGAUUCUCCUGCACUUGGGAGAACAGUUUUAUUUUUGCACCAAAGCUCGGUACAUUCGUCUCCGCAUAUGUGUGUCUAGUAUGUCGCCCCCUUUAAACUACGAGUGCUCGAAUAGAUAUUAUUUAGGUUGCUCAUGUAUUUGAAUCCUUGUUGUAAUUGUUUGAUUUAAUUUGAGUAAGGCAUGUAUUAUUGCUUGACACACCAUUUAAUUUAUCACGCACAUAGUAAGGGCAAUCACCCCAACAAGAUAAGAAUUGGAUUUCAUCACCAGAUUUUUACCCAAAUUAGGUGAACCAAUUCUCACAUAGCUAUCACUUUAAUUAAAAUCAAUUAGACGUUGGCCCCUAGGGACAUUCGAGCUCAAUAGGACGAAGAUCACCAANNNNNNNNNNNNNNNNNNNNAACAGAGGAGAAGCUCUAUUUUCCGAGAAGAAGAAAAAAAAAUUAUAUAUUGUACUCUUUCUUUUAGUGUUCCACCGUGAAGGAUUAUUUGUUCCUUGUUUUUAUAUUUUUUUCUUCUUACUUUUGUAAGCACUUGUCCUUUUAUGCAAUCCAUAAAUUUAUUUUAUGCAAUCUAUGUUCUAAGUUUCAGUUUAAUUCUUGCAAUUUAUUUUAUGUGUACUGAAAAUCUUAUUUUUAAGAUAAUACUGAAAUGUUUUUUUUCUCUUUGCUGUUUGACCGCUACUCUGCAUUAGAUUUCAAUUACAAAAUUUUCCUUCUUUCCUUUGUUUAUUUUCAAAUAGAAAAUAUUCUCUGGUAGACUAGAGAAUCAUUCAACAUCCCCGAAGUAAUGUUUUUCUUUUGUUAUUCAAAAAUUGAUUUUGAAUCCAGUAAACGUUUUGAUUUUUAUGCAACUCCAAUCGCCUCCCUGUGGAUCGAUCUCUUACGACCACUAUUCUUCGAAUAGAAAAGAUAAGAGUAUAAUUAAAUUAAACUUUGUUUGUCGAUUCUAACAACGAUCUGUUUAGGUAUUUUUAGGUAAACAGAAAAUCGGACAACAAAAUUUUGGCGCCGUUGUCGGAAAGGAAAAUCGAGAAGCAAGAACGAUCACGAAGAUCAAAUCGAAUUUUAGAUGCUCGGAGUGAACGCACUCCGGUAGUAAUUUUUUUUUAAAAAAAAAAUUUCUUGUUUUGAUUAUUUUUAGUUAAUAAUUUUGUAGUUAUUAAAUUCUGAAAUUUGAAAUUUGGAAUUUAAAAUUUUUUUAAAAAAAAUUAAAAUUCAAAAAAAAAAUUAAAAAUUAAAAAAAAAAUCCUAAAUUCUAAAAUUUAAGAGUUUAAAUUCAAAAUUUGAAUUCUGAAAUUCAAAAUUUGAAAUUUAGAAAAAAAGAAAAAAAAAUUUUGCUUGCUCAUUUAAUCAGUACAACUUAAUGACAUUCUAUAAACUUUAAAAAAAUCAUUGAAUAUUUGCUGCAUUUAGUAUUAAACAUUUGCAUAAAAUAAUUUAAGGGCAAAACCCAUUAAAAAGAUAAGGUCGGAAAAUCAUUACAUGUCCUUAGCCCAAAAAUCACCACCUUGCAUACAUAUCCUAAGCCAAAUUAAAUUAAAAUCAAUUAGACGUUGGCCUUAGGGUUUUCGAGCUCAAUUAGGCUCUUGAAAAGAAGCGGCUGAAAGCCACUCCAGUGAGAAUUUAGUAAUUGGUGAUGUCUAGAAAAGUUUUACAAUAGUGAGAACUGUUACGGAUAUUGUGGUAUUUGUGUAUCCCUUCUGGCACCACCACAUACCCCAGAACUUUCCUGGUCACUGGUUACUGGAUCGCUUAACUGGUAAGCUCAAGCUUAAUCUGAAAGGGAGAUUAGGAGCUGUCUAAUCUAGGAGAGAACUUUAGGAAUUUUUACCUAAUAAUUCUCCACGCAACUAGAUUUAAGAAGCUACUAAACCUCACUUAAUUCUAAGACUAAUAGAGUCAAAUUGUUGUGUGGUGUUGGUUGUGAUCAUCUCUGUUUAGCCCUUCUUUUCUCUUAGAAUUUCGUUCAUUUUAGGAGUCAAAUCUAAUAAAUUGUUGAUAAUGUAUGCAUGGUAGAAGGUCAUUAAGGGGUAAGUUAACACCAUUUGAUCCUGAGAUUGACAGAACUUUUCAUCACAAUCAGCGAAUUGUAAGCCAACCGUCAAUCUCUACAAUGGGUGAACAUAUUAGAACUUUGAAUGAGUUGUUCGCACCCACAUCCGCUAGUCCCCCUACUUGCAUAGUAUUACCAAUUAAUAAUGCAGCCGAAUUCGAGAUUUGGACUGCAACAAUAAACAUGUUACCCAAAUUUCAUGGAUUUGAGAGCGAACAACCGUAUAUUCAUCUAAACAAAUUUUUGACAAUCUGUCAAAUGUUUAGAAAUCAAAACUUAGAUGAAGAGGGUAUUAAACUAAGGUUGUUUCCCAUGACUUUAGAUGAUCGUGCUGCUGCAUGGCUGUAUUCUCUUGCUUCAAAUUCCAUCACAUCAUGGGAACAACUAUUUAGGAAGUUUAUGGCUAAGUUCUAUCCCAUGGUAAAGACUGAAAAAAUUAAGGAUGCCAUCAUAACUUUUAGAAAAAAAUCUGAGGAGGAAUUUUUCCAACUUUGGAAAAGAUUCCAUGAUCAAAAUGGUCAAGUGUCCGCACCAUGGGCUUGACAAGGCUAAUCUAGUACAUUUUUUUUACAAAGGAUUACCUCCAGCACAUAGGAACAUGAUUGAAUCCAUGCAUAAGGGUAGGUUCAUGAACCAAACCCCUGAUUAAGCCUAUGAGUUCCUUGUGGACUUAGCUAAAAAUGUCCAAAAUUGGAGUAGCUACGGUCAGGAGAUAGAUAGAGAUGAUUAUGGGUCUAGAGAACCAAGUACCUACGGAAUAAAAAUAGAUCCAGAACUCAAAAAUGUCAUGUCUAAUCUGGUGAAUGGGGUGAAUAAUCUAAGCAAAAAGUUGGAUGCUUUUAUAGUUUCCACUAACUCAAACUCACAAAAAGAGUCAAAUCCCAUCAUGAAAGAGGAACAUGAGCCACAAGGCUUAUGCAUCUUGUGUAACAGUUUGGAGCAUCUAGUGGAGUGUUGUCCUAGUUUAUCCAACAUUAAGGCUGAGCAGGCAAAUGCUCUAAAUUCAUAUAAUGCCUUUAAGAAACCCACUCCCAAUUCAUUCAGCCCAGUUUAUCACCCUGAUAAUAGGUUUCACCCGAACUUCUCAUACAGGCAGACUGAACCUAUUCAGCAUCAGGGUGGUCCACCAGAUUUUCAGAAAAAUUUUCCUAGGAUAGGUCCACCACAGAUGAACCAAUCAUUAGCUCCACCUAUCCCUCCUUAUAGUGCCCCUAUCCCUCAGCAGUCUACAUCGUUGGAAGCCAUGAUGGCUAACAUGAUGAAGCAGCAACAAGACUUCAUCCAACAGCAACAACAGACCAAUAUGGCUCAAACGCAGACUAACCAAUUUCAUGCGCAAGCGAUUGCAAAACUUGAGGUUAGUCUGAGCCAAAUAGCUAACUUUCUAAGGGAUAGGAAGAGAGGUGAAUUACCCAGUCAGCCAGUGCCUAACCCUAGUAGGCAACAAAAUCAAGGUCAGAGAGGUCAGUAUCAAAUCAAUUCUAAUAAAAAUCCGACCUAUGAAGUCCAAGCAAUUACCACUUUAAGGUCUGGCAAGCAAGUGGACAAUAAAGUCCAACUUCCUGAAUACGUAAAAGAAAAUAAGAAUGAAUCCAAUAAGAACCCUAUUCAAAAGAGGGGUUAAGAACAGAACAAAAAGGAAGAACCCAUAGAAACACACAAACCUAAGGUUCCCUUUCCCAGUAGACUUCAGGACUCUAAGAAACAAUCUAACUUUGAUGAAAUAAUGGAAGUCUUUAAAACUGUUCAAAUAAAUAUACCUUUUCUCGAUGCCAUACGAUAAAUUCCCUUCUAUACAAAAUUCUUGAAAGACCUCACCACGGUCAAAAGAAAAACUAGCAUUCCUAGGCAAACUGUUAUGGCUGCACAAACCUCAUCUCUCAUUCAACAACAGAUUGCCCCAAAAUUUAAUAAACAUGGUUGCCCCACCAUUGAAAUAAAAAUAGGAGAGACGAUUAUCCAGAGAGCCCUAUUAGAUUUAGGAGCCAGUGUGAACCUACUUUCCUACUAUGUGUACCAAAAGUUAGGUUUGGGAGAAUUAAAGCCCACAAAUAUUACCCUUUUCUUAGCAGAUAGGACGGUGAAGUACCCCAAGGGGAUUGUAGAAGAUGUAAUAGUGAAGGUAAACGAGUUUUACUAUCCUGUGGACUUCGUUAUCCUUAAGACCGAACCUGUAAUACAUCCAGACAGUCACACACCUAUAAUUUUAGGUAGACAUUUUUAGUCACAGCAAAUGUUGUGAUAAAUUGUCGAAAUGGCAUGCUAAAGUUAUCUUUUGGCAAUAUGAAAGUCGAGCUUAAUGUCUUCAACAUAAAUAAACAACCACCAGACGAUAAAAAAAUCAAUGAAGUUGACAUAAUUGAAAGUCUGGUUCAGAAGACUUUCUUACAAACUUAUAGUAAGGACCCUUUAGAAGCUUAUCUUGCCCAUUCCGAGGAAGGGGUCGAGCAUGCGCUCCCUAAUUCUGUUCCCCUUAUGAGCAUAGAUCAUCAUCGGCCGACUGUUCUUCCUCGGACUCUUUCAAAACCAUUCUUAGAUAAUGGCUAAAAAAAAUGAAUCUACAUUUUGUCUGGCUGAAGACAUAAAACUUAGCGCUCUUGAAAGCCAACCCAACAUGUAAAUAUUAUUAAAAAAAUAAAAAAAAUUUACUAACAUACAGGUUUAGGGGUUUUUGCCCCAAUUGUCAAUUUACCUACCCAUAUCAGGUAACUUCUUCUCUGUCCUAUUACUGCUUUAAAUUUUCUUUAACAAUAAGGACAAUAUUAGAUUUAGGUUUGGAGGUAUUUUUAAGCAUUUAAAAAAAAUAAAAAAAAUUAAUUUCAGUACAACACACAAGGUAUAUAAAAUCUAAAGCCCAAUGACUAGUCGGAAGUAGUGCAAAGUGAGUUCUUUUUAUUAAGUUCCUUUUAGUGAGUUGUAAGCUAAUUAGUGCUUUGAAUUUCACAACACAUCUGACCUGCAUUUCUAAGAUAUAGGUUCGACAUUGUGUUGAGAAUAUGGUAGCAACCUCGAAUCCUGAUGAACCAUCUUUUUUAAUUCACAUAAAAAAAUGGUGGAUUUAGUCAGGUACAUCGAAAAGGGCUACCUAUUGUCAAAGAUCAGUGGGCUUAUGAUGAGGAACCCGAGCAUAGGUCCGUAAGGGAGUCUUGAUGCCCGACACCUCAUGCCAACUGGUAUGAGAAUUGUCGACUAAUUGCUCGCUACAUGGAAGAAUCAUCACAGGGAGUAAAAGUGCACAAUAUAUACAUUAUCAUGUUUUUUAAAAAAAAUUCUGUAUAUUGACCUUAAGAAAGACAAUAGUGUGAAAGCCGUCAUUACAAAAAUUCGAGUAAACUGGAAUAUUACAGAUAAAUCCUAUGAGGUAUUAAUGUAAACAUCCACAGCUCUCGAAAUCCUGCAGAUAAGAUGAUUUUGAAUCAGCAAAUAGGUCUUGUCCGACCAAUUCUUGGAAACUACUAGCAUUGGCGAUAUUUUGGAAAUCCAAAACCUUAGCUUGUGCAUGGUCCAGACUUCACUGAGCACUCAAGUAUAAAUAAGUCUUAUAACUCCAUAACGGAAAACUUAAUGACGUCAACUUAAAUUGCAUACUAACCUAGAAUUUGGGCUACUUAGUAAUUAAAACCUUGUGUGCUUUUGAAAUUCUUAUCAGUUAUGUACUUGAAAUUAGACUUUCAUUUCAUAAAACAAAUUUUAUUUUGGGAUUGAAGUUUGUGGGUAACUUCACUGCAAACCCUCACGAGACAACACUCGUCCACUAGGGUAACCUAGGGGUUUAACGGCUUGUUACACGUGCUAAGUGCAAUUGUGGUGCUCUACGAAAGUAAGUAUUUAUUUUAGUUCAUAUAUAUAUAUAUAAUAAUAAUUUUGCACUCUCAUUUUAUCAUUUUCGCACUAAAUUGCUAGAGGCUGGCAAUAAGCUAGUUGGGAGGGGUGAUGAGAGCACAUGUCCUUUUAUGCAAUCCAUAAAUUUAUUUUAUUGCAAUCUAUGUUCUAAGUUUCAGUUUAAUUUCGGCAAUUUAUUUUAUGUGUACUGGAAAUCUUAUUUUUAAGAUAAUACUGAAAUAUUUUUUUUCUCUUUGCUGUUUGACCGCUACUCUGCAUUAGAUUUCAAUUACAAAGUUUUCCUUCUUUCCUUUGUUUAUUUUCAAAUAGAAAACAUUCUCUGAUAGACUAGAGAAUCAUUCAACAUCCCCGAAGUAAUGUUUUUCUUUUGUUAUUUAAAGAUCGAUUUUGAAUCCGAGUGAACGUUUUGAUUUUUAUGCAACUCCAAUCGGCUCCCUGUGGAUCGAUCUCUUAUGCCACUAUUCUUCGAGUAGAAAAGGUAAGAGUAUAAUUAAAUUAAACUUUGUUUGUCGGUUCUAACAACGAUCUGUUUAGCGUAUUUUUAGGUAAACAGGAAAUCGGACAACCCUCAACAUCAGUGAUCACUUCCAAAAGGUAUUUAUAGUUGGAUUCUGUUUAGUGCAUGUACUCUUACAGUGCACCCACUCAUCUGUUUAAGGUCUUUACCUCAAUAACGGAGCCUAUUAUUCUAUUUAUAUAGCGGCACAACGAGUGUUGGCCUAAAAUAUGUAACUGUUGAUUUUUCGGGCUCACCAACAAAAUCCUAACUGUUGGUUUUUCUGGCUCACCAACAACCCUUACAAAGAAAAUAAAUAGUUCAGAAAUUUAAAGCUCCUUAAAUGACCAAACAAAACUAUCAUGCUCUAAAGAGGAAGAAAAAGAAUGAUGUCGCGUGAAGGUGCUUUGCUUUUCUUCCUUGCUGAGAUUGCUUCAUGCUUUAAUGGGUUGGUUGAGCUCUUAAAUGCACUUGAAAUCUUAGCUCAGCACUCUUCUUUUUGGCCUUAACUGAAGCAAUGGAUAAACUCUUGGUUUGCAAGCUUUUUUUUUGAAUGCACACUUAAUAUUCCAAAAAGGUUCUUCUCCCAGAUCAAUAGUGGCUCUAAAACACCUCUCCAACCUCUAAAUAGCCGUUACUAGCCGUUGGAUUGAAGAAAAUAACCAUUUAUAGCCGUUGGAGACUUCAAAAAAGCUUCUGCGCAACUAGUCGUUAGGCUGUCAGACGAGCUGAGGUCGACUCAAACAUAUUUGGGGUUGGCUCGAUCAGUGGUUGCAGAAGAAUAAGCUUUUUGUCAUGACUGGUGGGGUUGACUUGAACUUCUGGUGGGGUCGACUUGAAUUCAUGCCAGUGUUCAGGGCGUGCCGGGGUCGGCUCCAAAUUUUCUGGGGUCGACUCGAAACCUGUGCCAGUGCCAAAUCAUUCCAGGGUUGGCUCCAGAAACUCUUGAAUCGACUCUAACACAGAUUCUUUGCCUCUUUAAGUUAUAUUUGUGCUUAUAACCGAACUUCUUAAACUAGAAUCAUAGCAAAUCAUUUCUUUUCACUUAGGAUCCUUAGCACAUGAAUUUUUCAUCUCUUUAAUCUUGGAAAAGAUAGAAUUACACUACAACCAAGAAAACUUGUCUCUUAAGUCUAUCAAUCUGAAAUUUAGGCCUUUCCUCAAGUUCAUCUAAAGAUUUUACCUUUUGUUGAGUUCUUGCAAGUUCUUCUAAUUGAACAGCAAAGCUUAUCAAGAACAUUCCAAAGAUUUUACCUUUUGUUGAGUUCUUUCUUCCUUAAACAUUUAUAUACUAAAUCAUCUGAAAUACUUAAUUUAAAAGCAUUAGUACAACAAUAUGACCUCAAUGGCUUUGUAAACAUCAAAAUCAUACUAGGGUCAACAGGAUUAAUUCUUUCAUGUGUGAGAGGAUGAGAGCCUUGACUUGGUCAAAGAUCUCAUCCGCAAGAAGGAUCUUGUGUGCGGCUGAAACUUUUCUUCCUAGCUUCCAUUUGCACGGCCAAGAAGAGGUUCCACAUAGGUCUAGGCUUAGGUGGCAAGGUGUUUAGGUAGUUAAUCAAGAGAUUUGAAUUUUAAAAGAGUCCUUAUGUGGUUAGAAAUCUAGAUAAAUUCUAAAUUGUAACUCCUAUCUUUUGCCAACCUCUCUUCAUAUAUAAGAGAAUGUUUGAUGAAUAAAAUCAGAUCAAAAAAUUUUAGAAAAAUUGUCAGUGACUCUUGAGAGAGUCCUCACAUAAAGGAGAGAGUUCUUCAGCUGUGAGAUGCCAAGUUGGCGAGAAAAGAGGGUGAGACACCUUUUUCUUCCGCCUAGGUUUGGGUUUUUGAGGGGGUGAGACUCUUCCUCAAUUUUCCAUAAUUAUCCCACCCAAUUACCACCACAUUGACCAAUUCUAUAGAGUCCUAAUCCAAUUGGGACUCAUCCAAAUCAGCCACGUCUUCAUUCAAUUCAGAUCAAGAACUAAAUUAAAUCCAAAGGCCAAACCCAAAUUCAGCCGCCACCCUUCAAUUGGCACCAAUUUCUUUGACCGGGUCUAAUCCAAUGGAGCCCAAAUCAAGAUUAUCUUGAGUCCACAUUUCUUCUCCCUUCCAUCCAUUUGAAACCCUAGCCUCCAUUGUCAUUACCAAGAAAAAAAAAGAAGAGAAACAUUCAACUACCAUUAUCAUUAUCAAAGAAAAAAAUUAUGCGAACAGAGCAGCUGACUGGAUCGCCUCUUACGUCGCCCGGCACUCCGGAGAGUUCCUUUGGACAUCUGUAGCUAAUAUCCCCAUCUUUUUGUACACUUUACUUUUUUUGAAUUUGGCUGGAUGUACUCAAGCUAGAGCUAUAUGAAUUGCCGUUUUCAUAAUAUAUAUAUAUAUAGGAACCCAUCCCGACUGCAUCAUUUUGGAUACCAACUUACUACGAAACCUAUUGAAAUACAUCUCAGCGACGGGGGCGUGCACGGUCACGCUAGUGCAGGCAGCGCGGCAUACAAGUUCUUCCCCCUUUUUGGUGGGCCCGGGAGGGCUGGGGGUGGGUCCCCCUUUUUGGUGGGCCCGGGAGGGCUGGGGAUGGGUCCCCUGUAGCUCUCCCCCCUGCUAUUAUUCUGUAGCGUCCCCCUUCUGCUAUUAUUAAGAUAUUUUGCACUCUGUGAAUUCUAUUUUUUUCUUUUGUUUGGGUAAGCCAGGUUGGAGAGAAGCGAGAAAAAGGGAAGCCGGAGGAUCGCGAAAAUAGAAGACAAUAAGAGAAAAGGAAGAUCCCUUCUCUCCCAAUGUCUCCUCCACCUAAGGAAUGAAGGAUAAAGAGGAUUAGCAAAACCUCCUCUCUGUUUCUCUUCCUUCCAUCCCUUGCCUGACCGUCCAAACUGAGGAUUAUGACCCUCUCCUCCUCACUCCUAAACAAAUGAGAGAUUCUAGUUCUCUCCUCUCUACCCCUUGCCUUCUCUGCCAACCUCGUAUCAUCAAAGAUCGAGACGGCCAUGCACAAGAAAGAAAGGUGAAAGAUUAAUGCUUCAAUUAAAUGUUAGCAACUUUAUCUUUAAAUUAUUCGAUAUUUUGUUUUGGUUUUCCUUUUCUGUGGUCCGAAAGGGCAAAAAAAUUUCUUGUCCUGACCUCCGCUGAGAGCAUAUGAAUCCAGAAUCAUACCCCGCGCAAAUCAGCAUCCUAUAGCUUCUUUCGACCAUUUUUUUUUUCAUAAAACCAAUUGAUUCGUCGACAAAAUCACGCUCUCCCGCAGUGAAGGGUUCACAAAUUCGAGGUGAUUGGAAAGGUGAUGAUGCUGCUGCUGUUUGUCGGAGAUGAAGUGGAAAGGGAGACGGUGAGGACGUGGGAAACCCCUAGAUUUUGCGCCGGAGAUUCUGCGAUUCUUGCUGGAGAAGGCGACGAAGAGAUGGAAUUGGUCCGGGCACGCGGUGGCUGCCUCAACUCAUGCCGCCGAAAGCAAAGACAAGUCGACGGUCAAGACGCGGAGUCACAUUGACCAAGUUCGUCGUCCUUUUUCUCAGCCACUCACGCGUAUAUUAGUCGGCCUCAUCUGGAGUCUCCCAGAGGACCGCAUGUGUUCUCUUUCCGACCAAUUUCCAACCAUCUUCCGUGCAUGACCGGUUUAAUUACUUAUGGCUUCCUCCUUUCUCGAUUCAUAUAUCCCUCCAUACUUCACCUCCUUUUUUGAGGAUCAUUGCAUUGAUAAAUUCUUACGCACUUGUCCCCGUCCUGCCUUCCAUCUACUCUGCCUACUGUAGAGCCAGCCUAUUGAACUAUGGCUUCGAAACCCAAUCCUAAGCUCCCGGAAGAGCAGCAGCAAACAAUAUCGCCGCAGCCACCGAGCAGCAGUCGAUUCAGGGCACUGAUCACCCAAUUAUUCAAUCUGCUCCCUGCCGUUGGUUUCCUCUUCCUCACCGUCAAUGUGAUCGCCGCUGCUUACCACGCUCGCCAGGAUCCUGGAACCCUUGUGUUCGUGCUCUGGUCCUAUGUAAAUCUGUUGCUGCUAUUCUUGUGCCUCAAAAAAUUUGAGAGCCUUGAAGCGGACUCUCCGCCUGAGAAGAGGGAGAGACUUAAAGUGGCUAUCUGGGUGCUUGCCACCGCCCUCAACCUCACUUUCGCCUGGCGAGUGGCGGGGAUAAUGCCAUUAGCGCUGGCCGUAGUCAUCUGGGCAAUGGCUGCCCUUGUUGCUGUUGCUGGGUUCUACGGUCUCUUCAUUUACAAGGAUGGGAAUGGUAAUUGUAUUGAGAACAGCGACUUUGGCAAGGCUCGCCUCCGCGAGCUCUCCCCGGAAGAAAAAGUUUAGCCUGUCCCAAGGUAGACAUGCAAUCCACUAUAAUAUAUUUCAAAAUAAAAUAUUACUGAAAAAAUAAACUUAAUUCAACGAAUGUCUUCAUGAAUAUGCGAAGGAUCACUUUGAAAGUAGUAAUUCAUGUAUUUAAGUGGUUCAUAUAUUUGGGUUUUCUAUGUACAUUUAAGUGGUUCAUGUAUUUGGAUUUUCUAUGUGCCUAUAAGUGGUUCAUGUAUUUUGGAUUUUCUAUGUGUAUCUAGAAGUCCUAUAAAUAUUAUGUAAGUCUUGUGGUUUUGGCAAGGGGCAAGAGCCAAAGUGAAUAGAAAAAAUUUGAAGUAUUUCGCCUCUUCAUCCUUGCUUCUCUAAAGAAAUCUCUCUUCCUAUAUUCGAACAAACUACUAUCAGAGCUCUAGUUUCUUGAUCCUAUAGCCAAUUCUACCUUCCUAUUUCAAUUUUCUCGCCUUGCAAAAGAGAAUUAUGAGAAUUGGUGCAUUUGUAUGAAGGCUUUGCUUGGAUCGCAAGAUGUGUGGGAGAUUGUGGAUAGAGGCUAUGAGGAGCCUUGUGAAGAAGCUACGAUGAGUCCUACUCAAAAGCAAACUCUAUAGAGAAUGUGGAAGAAGGACCAAGAAGCUCUCACUCUCAUCUAUCAAUGUUUAGAUGAAGCCAUAUUCGAGAGAGUAGCUAAUACGACUACUGCCAAACACGCAUAGGAGAUCUUACAAAACUCUUACAGAGGAGUUGAUAAAGUGAAGAAAGUGUGCCUUCAAGUGCUACAAGAAUAUUUUGAAGGUAUACAAAUGCAGGAAUUCGAGUCUAUUGCGGAUUUCUUUUCGAGGCUGUUGGCUAUAGUGAACCAAAUGAAGAAGUAGGAGAAAGAUUGGAGGAUGUCCAGGUCAUUGAGAAAAUUCUUCGCUCGUUGUAUUCGAAAUUCGAUUAUAUCGUCGUAGCCAUCGAGGAGUCCAGAGAUUUGGAGACUAUGAUGGUUGAUCAACUUAUGGGUUCGUUACAAGCCCAUGAAGAGAUAGUAAACAAGAAGAAAGAGGAGACGAAUGAGCAAGUUCUAACCACUAGGCUCUUAGUGAAGGAGAAGGAAGGGGAGCGUGAGAAAAAUCAAUGAGGAAGAGGAUGUGGACGUGGACAAGGUCGAGGGAGAGGAGGAAGAGGAAGAGGAAGAGGUGGCUAAGGCAAUCAAAACUCCAACAAUGAAGAAAGGGAGCAUUCCUCAAGAGGAUGUGAUAGAGGAAACUACACAAGGCAAAAUGAUAAGUCCAAAGUUUGGUGUUACAAUUGCCAAAAGAAUGGGCAUUAUGCUCGGAAGUGUUGGAGUUCUCCUAGCAAUAUUGAAGAGAAGACUAAUUAUGUAGAGAAUGGACGAGCCAACUCCAGCAGAUAGCAAGUCGACCCAAGAACAGUCUCAAAGAAUAGAUAGAAAGUCAAAGAAUUUAUCGCAUUGGCGAGUUAACCCAUAAAAUACAUGCUCGACUCUAGUCUAAAGAGUGAUGUUGGAAGUAAAUUGAAUCUUCCUAAAAUUUGAUUCACUGGAAAGCACAUAAAGGAAGGAGUCGACCCCUAAUUGGACAUACAAAAAAGACAGAGCUAGAAAAAUCAUCGCUUUGGCUUGUCGACCCAUAGGAAUCAUGAGUUGACUCCAGUCAAACAAGAUUAGACCCUAGAAACAUACAAGUCGACCUCUGAAACACCAUAGUAAAAAAAUAAAAAACAGUAGAACUUAAUCUGUUGAAUAGUCCACCCAAGAAAGCAAUGAGUUGACCCAAGAUAUCUGACGAGUCAACCCCUGAACUGAAAGAGCCGACUCCACAAUGUCUAUAGUAAAAAGACAGAGCGCAACAAAAGCUACAACAACUACGAGAUGACUCCUGAAGAUCACCAGUCGACUUCUAAAAAUCUUAAGUCGACCCUAGGAAAUGGUGAGUCAACCCCUCUGCGUCUGACAAUAGUAAUAUCUAGUUUUUCUAUGAGUCACAAUAGUUGUUUUUCAUUUCACAAUGGCUCUUUACCUGUCUAAUGAUUGGAAGAGUGUUCCAACCAUCUCCAAAAGUAUAAAUGCAUAGGAACAGCAAAGAAAAAGAAGAGCCUAAGCACUACAAAAAAAAAUCUACAAGAACAAGAAAGAGAAAGAAAAAGAAGAGAGCUUCAAAGAAUAAAUCAUUCAAGAACAUUUAUAGAGAGUUGAAUGAUCACAUCUUCUACAACUGAAAGUUGGUGAAGUGCAUUCAAAGAUCAUUCCAUGCCAACCAACAGAGUCCAUCUCCAUUUUUUAUUUUGAAUUUAUUGUCCUGGAGUUGUAUUCAUUGCUUCAGUACUUACUUUUUUCUAUUCUUUAUUGUAACAAGUUUUAGAGAUUGAAAUUUGGAGAAAAGUCCAUCCAAAUCUUAAAUUGGAUUGAAAAAGUUUUGGUUGAUUUUCUAAAAAAAUCAAUUAAGUUGAUUGGGAGCCCGAGUAAAGCAAUCAGUCUAGAUUUUAGUUGAUUUUCUAAAAAAAUUAACUAGAUUGAUUGUGAACCCAUAAGAAACAAUCAGUUGAAGGUUUUGAUUGAUUGCCCGAAAAAAUCAAUUGGGUUUGGUCGUGAAUCCGAAAAAUAACUAUGCUAUAAUUUGGGUUAUAGAUUUAGUAAAAUUUCUAAGAAGAAAGUCUUGGAGAUUAUAGGUGCAGAGUUAGCAUCAAACCACUAUAAUUUUUUUAUAUUGAUGUUGAUUAUUUUACUUGUAUUUAUCUUUAACAUAUUUUCUUAUUAGUUUGCUACUAAAGUAUAUCUUGUUCUGUCAAGUUUUAUACCUCUAUAUUUAGUAAAAGUUUUCGAAAAAUCCAAUUCACACUCUCUUGGACUGCAUAGAUGGCAACAAUGCGAGCAUUUAAUGGUUGGCUGCCUCUCUACUCACACCGAUCAAUGCUUCCUAGCCAUUCACCCAAUAGGAGAUGGACAUUCUUGGACUCUUUCUAUCUAACUGAGUAAAAGAAAUUCCUAAUAGUGGCCAUCAACUACUUCACUAAGUGGGUCGAGGCGGAACCAUUGUCCUAGAUCGUCGAUAGCAAUGCCUGAGACUUCAUUCGAAAGUUGAUCAUCUACUACUUCGGGCUUCAUCGGGCCACCAUCACCGACAACUAUAGGCAGUUUGACAAUACCCACUUUAGGGAGUUCUAUGUCGAUAUUCAUAUAGAUCAUCAGCCCACCUUGGCCGGACAUCCCCAGGCCAAUAAGGAAGCCAAGGUGACCAACAAAACCAUUCUGCAAGGCUUGAAGACACGGUUAGAUCAAGCAAAGGCAGUUUGGGUAAAUGAGCUUCAUAGUAUCCUCUUGGAGAUGGGCCUAUCCUCUCAUCGGAUCGCCUCCUUUAAUGUGUAGAGGAAUCCGGAAGGCCUUCGAGCUAACCUCAACUUGCUGGAAGGAAUAAGGAAGUCGGAAGGGUUUCAAAAGAACGGUUAGAACCAACGGGCCGUAAGAAAAGGAGUCGAAAUCAGAAAAGUUAAAUGAGCGAGGAAGCCAAGUGAGAGGGAGUCGGAAAAUUGGGAAGGAGGCUUCGAUGGAAUAGCAGUCAGAAAAUUGGGAAGGGGCUUCGGCAGAAGAAUAGAAGCCAAAAACUCAGAAAAAAAGUAUUUGGGGGGAAAAUAGAAAACAAAGGGCAUUUUCGUCCUCAGAGAUGCGUGGUUAAGGCCCUGUUUGGGGGAGCUGUUGGCAGUAGAGCUGUUNNNNNNNNNNNNNNNNNNNNGAAAAUUUUACCAAACACACUUUUUUUCCCAAAAGUACUUUUGGAGGGCCAGAAAGUGCUUUUUGGCUCUCCAAAAGCUCCCCCAAAUAGGGUCUAAAUAUCAAAUUGCCUUUGACUGGUUGUUACAAAACCAGUCCACGGAUAGGGUGGCAAUUAAUUUUUCUUUUCUUUUUUUCUCUGUCGUUCCGCGUGAGAUUAGCUGGCCUCAUCAAUGACUCAAUAUCUGAAGUCUCCCCCGAGACUGUCUGAAGUACGUGCUGUCUUUCCGACACAUUUCCAACCACGCUCGAUGUCGUCACCGCUGCUUACUACGCUCGCCAGGACCCAGACGCCCUCGUGUUCGUGCUCUCGUCCAGUGUGCAUCUGAUACUCCUAUUUGGAUGCCUCCAAAAUUAAAUAGCCUGGAAGCGGCUAUCUUGGCGCACGUGACCGUCCUCAACCCCACUUUUGGCUAGCGAGCGGCGGGGAUGAUGCCAUUUGCUCCGAAGGCAGCCGUCUGGGCAAUGGUUGGCCUUGUUGCCAUUGCUGGGUUCUACAGUCUCUUCAGUUACAAUGAUGGGAAUGGUAAUGGUAUUCAUAAUCAUGACAGUCAAAACAGCGGAUUUGACCAGGCAAGAACUUAAAAAAAAACAAUGGAAAUAUACGUCAAAUAUAAAACUUCAAAACAAAAUCUAUGAGAUAUUAGUAGUUGAUGGCAUUAUUAUCAUCAUCUCUAUGAUUGCUGAAAGCAUUGUAAACUUAUAAGAAAAAGAAACUUCAAAAGUUGAGAAUAUCGAAAUUACAACGUAUUAUAAAUUAUUAAUCCCAAACAAAAGUAUACAUGAUAAUUGUAUAAAAUAUACAAAUAGAUGUACUUAUUUAUCUAAGGCGGGACAAACUUCUGCAGUAAGAAUGUAAUCUGGUUAUGCUAAAUCCUAUAGCAUGCAUCUCUGUCUCAUAAUUCUGCAUUAAAGAUUGUAUCACUUUUUAAUAGCUCUAGCUCAUGUCCAUAAUCUCUAUCUCCAGCCUACGAAUGUCUACAGUGCUAUCACUCUAUCUAGCAUAGUGAAUGUAUCUACAUACUACAAACAACUGAGUACGGAUGAUUCAAAAGGAUCUCCUAACUCGAUGUGGACUUUGGUCAUUACGGGUAGGGCUGGACAAAGUCUAGAAGCAAGAUCUAGCAUAUCAAAAAGCCAAGUCGCAAGCCAAACUUUCAGAGGCCAUAACUUCGACAUGCGAUGUUCGAUUGAAAUAAUUUUUUUUAAAAAAAUUGAUACGUUUUAGAGAUAUACAACAUGACAUCAUGCUCUUCAAGGGAUGGCUCCUUUAGCGAUCAUAUCCAAAUUUUUAUCAUUUGGGCUUGUAAAAGGUUGGUCAAACUAAAAGUUUCCUUCUCUAGUAAGACUUUAAUUGGACAUAUCUUCCAAUCCGAAGUAAAAAUCAAGCAAAGCGAUAGAAGGCAAGGUAGAAGUCGAGUUUCACUUUCUGAAGAAUUUUAGCUUUUCAAGUUUAUUUCAACUAGCUAUUCUAUUUUAGGAAAAAGAGUUCUAUUAGAACUAGAAACAAAAAUUCGAUCCAAGUUGUGCAAGGACAGACCUCACUAUUAUAAAUAGAGGCAAUGUGCCUUAAUUUUAGAUCAUCAAUAAUAAAAAAAACGUAAGUCUUACUUUCAUAAUUCUUCCUUUUUUUAAAUUUAUUUUGAGAAAUUCGAGUUGAGUGGGUUGAGAAAAUUCUUCAUUCUCCCUGAUCGGAUCAAAAGGUGACUCCAACACUAUAAGCUCUCACUCGACCAUAAUGCUCUGGUCCCAUCAAUUUGGUGAACAUGAGGACAACUCCUUAACAUGCGCCAUAAUAAGGGAUGUAACUCUCCUAUAUUUAAGAAAAGUUCACAUAUUAAUAAUAGAAUAAAACUAUAAAUCAUUACACAAAUCCAUUAUCAAUACAUACGACUAAAUCUCUCGACUCUUUUCAGAUAAAGCUGUCAUCUCAAUGGGUACACUAUAGAAAAAAGAAGCAUUGCCGACUCUAUAUUGCCGACACUAAAUAGAAGUGUCGGUAAUUUUUUUUCAGCGAAAAAGCUUGCCGAUGCCUCUAAAAAGCGUCGGCAAAUAAUGGGCUCCGCCGAUGCUUUAGUUAGCGCCGCCGGACGCCGCCCAAUACCGGCGCUUCUAACCAUCGAAGGGGUUAAUCACCUCCCACCUCUCACAUCCGGCGAUGGUCUCUCACAUAGUUUGUGUUUAAAAAGCAAAAUAGGUAAGCUGCUCCGAGGUGUGGGCGAAGAAGCAGAUGCGGCGAUGGCGGGCAGUGCCAACCUUGCAUGGUUGGGUCCGGUAGCGUGAUGGAUGGAGCCAGCACUCGAACCCCAGGGGCGAACUCGUAGGCAUCGUCUCACUUGCAGUUGCCCUUCCGAAAGUCCGGGCAGGCAGUGCCAGAGUAAGGGUACUUCCGGGGGUCCCUCCGAUGAGCUUUCUCACCCGGGUGGGCGUAGGGGCACUUCAUCCAAUCAUGGGAACGCCCCCUCGCGCAUCGCCGAACUUUAAACUCGUACAUCCGAAACUUGUCAUACGAAUAGGCAUCCACCAGCGCGUCCGCCAGAUCCGACUCGUCGGAAUCCUCCCCUGCCGAGUAAGCCUCGUUGCAGGGGAGGUAGCACUGCAGCGCGGCCAGCGCCACCUCGCCUAGCGCGUAAGGGGACCAGUGCCCACUGUAAUCGGUGACCCUGCUCACGGGGAGGAUGUACGCGACGCCCACUGUCGGAUCGUCGAAGGGGGUCCGAGAGAACCUGGGCCCUUCUCCCUGUCUGGGAGGAUUCUUGGAGUCUAGAAGGUUCCUGGAGCAUCCAAGAGAACUUGAGUUUCGGCCAGAGAGAAAAAGGAGCCGACGAUGCUGAAAAGUGUUAUUAGAAUCCAACCGGCUACUUAACAUUAAUUUUCCUUAAACUUGGGCCAGAUAUGCUUAAAAGCGUCAUCGGACGCCUAACCACCCCUUACUGCCUCUAUAAAAUGCCAAGGCGAUGGAACCCUAGCAGCAGUCAGAGAGAGAGAGAGAGAGAGAGAGAGGAGAAGGGGGACGUCAAGCAGAUGGGUCAGAUCGUAGUUCGAUGGUAGGUAGAAGUUCUUCUGUGUUACUUUUUUUUGGUUUUUUUACUGGUUCUUUUGUGGUUCUUCUAUAUUCUCUCCAUAUUUUUGGAAAUGGAAGAAGGCGCUCAGGAGCGUACUGAAGAAAGAAAAUGGAGUCAAGGUGUUCUCUUCACGACAAUGAAGGGAAAAUGGAAGAAGAGAUUAGGAGUUGAGGAGCAGACUGAAGAAGGCGGAGCGGACUGAAGAAGAGAUUAGGGAUUUCGAAAUCCUUUUUGUAAUUUGUUAUUUGUUAUUUGUUGAAGAGCGGAACACGGAGGUUGGAGUUAGGUUGGGGUUGGGGUUGGGGUUAGGAGAUUACUCUUUUCAAUUUCUAGGGUUAUUUUUAUUGGAAAAUUUUUGGGGUUAUUUCCAUUGUAAAAGCUAAUUUGAUAGAAGGAAAACAAACAUCAGUGUUUUUCUUGUGUUAUUUAUUUUUUAAUUUUGUUCUUUUUUUUAAUUUGCUGGGGUAUCUAUCUUGUACUAUUAGAAGAAGAAUUAUUAUGAACCAGUAAUGGAGAAUAUCCAGGGUUUUUUUUCCAAAAAAUUAAUUAGGCUUUUUAUUUUGUUUUUGAAAUAACUCUAAGUAUUGUCGACGCUUCUAAGCAUCGGCCUAUCUUUGGUUUUCGCUGACACUUAAUAGCAUCGGCAGACUCCAAAAUAGGCCAACGCUUUCUAGUAUCGGCAUAGCUUCCAUUUUUACCGACGCUUUCAAGAAGCGUCAGAAGAAAAAAAAAUUACUUCCACCUACCCGACACUUUUGCGACACUUUUGAGAGCGUCGACGCAAAAAUUACCAACCCUUAUAAGCGUUGGUAUAGGCUCUAAAAAACGUCGGAAAAAGGUUAUUUUUUUGUAGUGGUAUGAGUCAUCGUGUAGAAUCCACCUCAUCAAGCUCCCUCCUACGCUCUUCUAUCUAAAAAGAAAGUAUAUGUUGCAUGAUACAUGGUCGAUAAUACAAGAUAUAUAAUAUAAGAUAUAUAAUUCAUGAUACACAUUACAUGAUACCUGAAACAUGGUACAUGAUACAUGAUAUAUGGAACUAACUUGUGGGUGUGGUCCAUGAUAAAUGAUACAUGGAAAUGCGCUUAUAUCAAUUAUAGUAUUGAUAUAAGCACCUUCCAUGCAAUAAUAACCAGGUAGUUAACAUAAAAGUCCUAUAAUUUUUGGGGUUUUGUGUUGUUGCAUACUUUGCACUCAAUAGGCAUGAUAUAAAAGUCUAAACUUGUGUUGUUUUCUUUAGAGGCAAUAAUAGCCAUAUACUAAGCACAUCAUUCUUCCCCAAAUUCACUCUUCAGAAGUACCCUAUAAUGAAGCAAAUGCAAGAUAUUAUGAAGCAUAGUAUCCCAAAAGAUUGAAAUAAGUAAAUUAAAUUUGUGUCAAAUUUUGUAUGUUAACAAAGCAAAUGCAAGAUACUAUCCCAAAUAAUCAGAUAAUUAAAUAUAAGGGUUUUUUUUGCGUGAAUACCAUUCUAAAUAUCGGAUUUUGUAUGAAUACUCUUCCAACAUUGAUAUUUGCAUGUAUACCCUCGUAAAACACUUGUUUUGCUAUUCUACCCUUUUUAUCCUUAUUUUUACUCAUGUACCCACACUAUCUAACACCAUUAAAAAAUUAACGGUUUCAAAUUAACAUGACUAAAAUAUCCUUAAUAGGUAGACAUGCAAAAAAAUAUUUAUAAGGGUAUACAAGCAAAUAGCAACUUUACAAGGAUAUUUAUGUAAUUUUGUAAAUUUAGAAGGGUAUAUAUGCAAAAAAGAAUCCUAGUAGAUGGAAAGAAUUUUGACAUAUUAAUUAAUAUAACAGCCUUCAAAAUCCUGUAUUUAUUAGUUAAUAUGAUAACCUUCAGAAUUUUGCAUUUAUUAAUUAUUGUUGUAGUCAUUAGAGUCAUGCAUUUAUGCUUCUACACAAGUAAGAUGAAUUCAUACAUCAUAAAUUAACAUAAGUCUCAAGAUCUAAAGUGCUGCUCUUAUAUUGAUAGUUUUAAAAUAGUCAAAGAAAGAUUAAGAACUCUGGCGGAAACAUGAACUCUGUUUGCAAGGUGACAUAUUCACAAAGAAGGGGAUGUCGAUGCUCUAGGGAAGGUGGAAAAGAGCUCGUUAUUCAUUUAUUUCUUUCUCUAGAAGCUUUAGUUCAUUCACAUCAGCCGUGUAUAUUGUAUGGGUUUAAGAUAGUUAUGGAUGGGACUUAGGAUUUGGCAUUUGUGCUCUAUCGGUGCAUUUAGUUAUUGAUAGUUUUUCUUUGGUUCUAUAUUUUAUAUAUUUCAACAACCUAGAGGAAGCCUUGUUAGAAGAUUUUGUUAAGUUAUUAUUGCAUCUCUUCACAAGUGGAACAUAUGUCUUCCACAUAAUGGUUCUCUCCUUUAUGCGCUGUCGGGUGAGACCUCAACUAUCAAAGAAAGCCAGAAACUAGAGCACACUAUUGAAUUCAAGUAUAAAGCCAUGUUGGAAUUAUAAAGCAAGUAUAUAUUUCAUUAUAUCUUUUAUAUCAUAUUAUUAUGAUAUGCAAGUGAAAACGACAUUGUGCAGAGAUCAUCAAAUAUAAAGCCGCAUUGGAAUGCAAGCAUAACAAGCAUAACAAGGUGGAGAAGUAAAUAUUUCAGGUAAAGAAAAAUUUAUUCAUAUUUCUGGAAUCAAAAAAGAUUAUCUCAUUGCAUGAUGUUCGUCUUGAUCAUUGGAGAACAAACUACAUAUUUAGAGAAAAUUAAAAGUUUCAUAUCCAACAUAAUCUUCACUCCUCCAGCAAAACAUGCGAUCAAAUCUGUAAUUAGCAAAAACAUUAAAAAAAAUUAUGUAAGAGAAUUAACUCUAUAUCAACCAAUAAAUUAUGUUUGGUAAUAAUACUAAAAGUAAUCUAAAUAACUUAAAAACAAAUAAGGUGCAAAAUUGGGAUACGUUUAUCCAAUCAUAUACCAAUCAAGAUUGUGGGUAGGCAUUAUCUUCUCCAACUAAAGUUUCCAUUCUUUUAGCUUGCUUGCGNNNNNNNNNNNNNNNNNNNNNNNNNNNNNNNNNNNNNNNNNNNNNNNNNNNNNNNNNNNNNNNNNNNNNNNNNNNNNNNNNNNNNNNNNNNNNNNNNNNNNNNNNNNNNNNNNNNNNNNNNNNNNNNNNNNNNNNNNNNNNNNNNNNNNNNNNNNNNNNNNNNNNNNNNNNNNNNNNNNNNNNNNNNNNNNNNNNNNNNNNNNNNNNNNNNNNNNNNNNNNNNNNNNNNNNNNNNNNNNNNNNNNNNNNNNNNNNNNNNNNNNNNNNNNNNNNNNNNNNNNNNNNNNNNNNNNNNNNNNNNNNNNNNNNNNNNNNNNNNNNNNNNNNNNNNNNNNNNNNNNNNNNNNNNNNNNNNNNNNNNNNNNNNNNNNNNNNNNNNNNNNNNNNNNNNNNNNNNNNNNNNNNNNNNNNNNNNNNNNNNNNNNNNNNNNNNNNNNNNNNNNNNNNNNNNNNNNNNNNNNNNNNNNNNNNNNNNNNNNNNNNNNNNNNNNNNNNNNNNNNNNNNNNNNNNNNNNNNNNNNNNNNNNNNNNNNNNNNNNNNNNNNNNNNNNNNNNNNNNNNNNNNNNNNNNNNNNNNNNNNNNNNNNNNNNNNNNNNNNNNNNNNNNNNNNNNNNNNNNNNNNNNNNNNNNNNNNNNNNNNNNNNNNNNNNNNNNNNNNNNNNNNNNNNNNNNNNNNNNNNNNNNNNNNNNNNNNNNNNNNNNNNNNNNNNNNNNNNNNNNNNNNNNNNNNNNNNNNNNNNNNNNNNNNNNNNNNNNNNNNNNNNNNNNNNNNNNNNNNNNNNNNNNNNNNNNNNNNNNNNNNNNNNNNNNNNNNNNNNNNNNNNNNNNNNNNNNNNNNNNNNNNNNNNNNNNNNNNNNNNNNNNNNNNNNNNNNNNNNNNNNNNNNNNNNNNNNNNNNNNNNNNAAAUAAUUGGAUUGAUUUAUUAGUUAUGAUUUGCUAGUUUUCUUAUCCUAGGGCUAGGACGUAGUCAUUGAAUUUUUGAUAUGAAUUGAGUAUGGUUGUAUUGAAUAUUUUUUGUUAAUUGCAAUUUGAUGAUUUCGCUUUUCAUUCUUGCAAUUUAUUGGCUAUGAAUUGUAUGCUUAAGAUGUUGAAUGAAGUAACGAAAGUUGAAGUUCAAUAUUAGUUGGUGAAUUUAUCAAACAUUGGUGGUGUAGUUUAGAAAUAAAUGCACACCCUUGUGACCUACAAUCAAGAAUUUCACAGAUCAUAAUGAAUUUAUAUUAAUUUCUAUGAUCACGAAAGUAGACAUAGGAUUAAUAUAGGUAUAGAUGUUAUGCCUUGAAAGAGGAUAUCACAUAAAAAAAGGAAUUCGGUCAUUGUAAUUAGCAGAAUAUUAACAAUCAGAUUUAAAUUCAUUGAAGAAAUUCAAUUGAGGAAAUCCAAGCCCUAGGAACCUUUCAUAUUUGAUUUUUCAGGUCAAGAAAUUGCAGUCAGUCACAUCAAUUUAGGGUCAUCUAAAUAAUAUAAAAAAUUUAUAAAUUGGUACUUGAAUCGCCUCCUUGUGGAAACGAUACUCUUUUUGCCCUAUUCUACUUGCCAUGACCCAUGCACUUAUGGUAGAGUAUAGGGACAAUCAAAUUUUUAGCACCGUUGCCGGGGAGGAUUGUUUUUAAAAUCAAUACAAAUAAUUUUCUGCAUUAAUAUAGACUGUUUUGUUCUUUUUGUUAAUUUAUAAUUUUUAUAUUUAGUGUAUGAAACGAAACUGUGAGCUAAUUGAGCCUUUUGAUCCAGAAAUUGAGAGAACCCUACGAGCAUUAAGGAAACAAUAAAGAUUAGAGCUAAAGCAAAAACAAGCAGUAGCCAUGGCAGAUAACCAAGAUAACCAGAAUAAAAGGUUGUUGAGUGACUAUACCGUGCCGAAUGUCAAUGGUGCUCAACUCAGUAUUGUGAGACCUACAGUCAACGCUAAUAAUUUUGAGAUUAAACCUUGUCUCAUCUAGAUGGUGCAGCGGGAGCAGUUUGGUGGAGGACCUGCUGAGGAUCCACAUGCACACCUUGCCAAUUUCUUGGAUAUUUGUGAUACAAUCAAUAUGAAUGGAGUUAGUGAUGAUGCUAUUCGACUCUGACUUUUUCCAUUUUCUCUAAAGGAUAAAGCCAAGGCCUGGUUGAAUUUCAAAGUGCCUAACUCUUUCACCACUUGGAAUGCCUUGUCACAAGCUUUUCUGAGUAAGUAUUUUCCCCCAGAUAAGACCGCCAAACUUAGAAAUGAUAUUACCAGUUUUGCUCAGUUUGAUGGUGAAUCUUUGUAUGAAGCCUGGGAGAGGUUUAAGGAUUUGCAGAGAAAGUGUCCACAUCAUGGUCUUCCUUGAUUGGCCGAUUGUACAGACUUUCUAUAAUGGAUUAACACAUUCAGUCAGAAUUACCAUAGAUGCAGCUGCAGGAGGUACUUUAAUGAGUUAGUCAACAGAAGAGGCAUAUGAGUUGUUAGAAGAAAUGGCCUCUAACAAUUAUCAGUGGUCUAAUGAAAGAGGUAUGCCUAAGAAAGUUCCAGGUAUGUAUGAUGUAGAUGGCAUAAACAUGUUGAAUGCCAAGGUUGAUUCUCUAGUAAAAAUGUUCGGUAAGCUGGGUAAUGUGAAUUCCGUUUCUAGACCUGUAUUAAGUUGUGAUUGCUGUGGAGGAGCUCACAUGAGUUCUGAUUGUAUGCAGGUUCAAUUUGUGUCUAAUUAUAACAGGCAGCAGCAGCAGAACAACCCUUAUUCCAACACAUACAAUCCAGGCUGGAAGAAUCAUCCCAACUUUUCAUGGAAAGAUCAAGGUAACCAAGGUAGCAGUUCUAGACCUCUCCAUCCUCCUGGUUUCCAACCAAUACCAUCCCAACCAAAAAAUAAGCAGUCUUGGAAGAUAGAUAUUGAGAAGUUAGCCAAUGCAAGUUCAGAGAGAUUUGAGAGACUGGAGGCAAAGGUUGACCAGUUGGCGAGUUCCAAUAGAAAUGUGGAGAUGCAAUUGGGGCAGUUAGCCAAUUCCAUCAAUUCUCGUGGACAGGGUAAUUUGCCUAGUAAGACAAAGGUCAAUCCAAAGGAGCAUUGCAAGACAGUCACCUUGAGAAGUGGUAAGCAACUUGGUCAGGUAAGUUGUGAGCUAUAGUUGGUGAUGAAGUAGACUAUGAAGAGGUGAGCAAGAAAAUCAGUGAAGAAGUUGAGGACCUAGCCAAGACACCAUCCCCACUACCACCAGUCGAACCUUAUAUUCCUUCCAUUCCUUUUUCUCAAAGGCUUAAGCAGAAUAAAAUUGAUCAAUAGUUUGAGAAAGUUUUGAAAGUAUUUAGGCAGCUUCACAUUAAUAUUCCUUUUGCAGACGCCUUAGCACAAAUUCCUGCAUAUACAAAAUUUUAAAGGAGAUCAUGUCUAAGAAGAGGAAAUUGGANNNNNNNNNNNNNNNNNNNNNNNNNNNNNNNNNNNNNNNNNNNNNNNNNNNNNNNNNNNNNNNNNNNNNNNNNNNNNNNNNNNNNNNNNNNNNNNNNNNNNNNNNNNNNNNNNNNNNNNNNNNNNNNNNNNNNNNNNNNNNNNNNNNNNNNNNNNNNNNNNNNNNNNNNNNNNNNNNNNNNNNNNNNNNNNNNNNNNNNNNNNNNNNNNNNNNNNNNNNNNNNNNNNNNNNNNNNNNNNNNNNNNNNNNNNNNNNNNNNNNNNNNNNNNNNNNNNNNNNNNNNNNNNNNNNNNNNNNNNNNNNNNNNNNNNNNNNNNNNNNNNNNNNNNNNNNNNNNNNNNNNNNNNNNNNNNNNNNNNNNNNNNNNNNNNNNNNNNNNNNNNNNNNNNNNNNNNNNNNNNNNNNNNNNNNNNNNNNNNNNNNNNNNNNNNNNNNNNNNNNNNNNNNNNNNNNNNNNNNNNNNNNNNNNNNNNNNNNNNNNNNNNNNNNNNNNNNNNNNNNNNNNNNNNNNNNNNNNNNNNNNNNNNNNNNNNNNNNNNNNNNNNNNNNNNNNNNNNNNNNNNNNNNNNNNNNNNNNNNNNNNNNNNNNNNNNNNNNNNNNNNNNNNNNNNNNNNNNNNNNNGUUUUUCGAGUUGAUGUUGUAGAUGAGUCGACCAGAGAGGUUUUUAGGGCUGAAAAUACUAAAGAACCUCUUGAGACUUGUUUAGUGAGUGCAGGGACAAGUAAAAAUGAUAAUCUAGAGGUUGCAUCAGAAAUAGGAAUGAAAUAAAAUCAGCUACAACAAUCAUUGUUGUUCUUUUAACACUUGCAAUAAUGUUUUCUUUUUGUUCAAUUUAAUAGAAGAAAAACAGUAGACAUCAACGAGAGGGAAGAGAGGCCAAGAUGACAUUGAAAUACCUUUCUUUAAGAUGAACACUACUUGGAGUCUAGCGAUUGAUCCUCGGACUAGCUUCCGCAGCCAAGAUAUAAAUAGAGAGGAGAGAUUUAGAAGAUGAAUCAAGUCCACGACCAAAUUUAGGAGAUGAGAGAUUUGAAAGCAGUGAGGAAUAUUGUUGUUUGAGAGAAACAGUGCAUCGUGGGGAAAGAAUCGCAAUCAAGAAGGCGCAAGCGGGAUCGCGAUCUCUGCUAUGGCAAUCGUGAUUCCUAGCAGGGAAAAAAGGUAAUUUGAAGAUUUUAUUUUAUUUUAAUUAAAAUAAAUAUGGUUUUUAUUUACGGUGUUAGAAGAAUCGUUACACUAGAGGCAUUUGAGCAAAAAUAGUAUUUAUGAGGGUAUAGAUAUAAAUAUAAAUUUUAAGAGGGUAUUCAUGCAAAUUUAAAUUUUUAGAAGAGUAUUCAUGCAAAAAAUCCUAAAUAUAAUUAGUCAAAUUCUGUAUGUUAAAAAAUUUGUUAACCCUGCUACUAAGAUUUCCAGUAUUAUGAACCAAUAACACAAAUAAAAGGAAUAAUUGAUGUGGUUGGAAUUAUGUUGCUUGCUGGAGAUGAUUUCCAGCAGUCUUGUGGCGCCCUAGAUAGAGCAGGAACAAGAACAGGUAUUGAUUCAAAGUUUACUUUUGAGACAGUUGUGAGACAGAAAGAUGAUCUAAUAGCUGAGAUUGCAACUAGUCAAAAAGGCUGAGUCUGCCAUAGUGGGAGGUCUGGAAUUCCUCCGACGCUUUCAGCAUUGAUGUAUUUGGCAAGUAUCAAUGACUAUCUGUUAUUUCAUCUUCCUUAGGAGCUCGAUGCAGCAAUUUUGGAAUUGGCUCAAAUAUUUUGCAGGUAACGCCUUUCCAAAUAUUUAGAUUGUUUCUGAUGAAUAUCGUACUACUGUUUCUAUCUAGACUAUGUUUCUUCUAGCUUAACAAUUAUAGUUUCUGGCAGAGGCAUCAUCCUGGUGGCCUUUCAUCAUUGUUAUGUUGUGUCUUCAAUUGAUAUGGAAUUAAGACUAAAACAUACAUAGGCAUAACAACUUUAAGAGUACGAGACAUUAUAGUAGCUUAUAUUUAACUGGUGUAGUUUGUAUGUUUAAAAGUUAGGUUGGAGCUGAUUCACUACUGUUCCUUGUCGUUCCACAGCCAGAGAAGUAAUCCAGCACAAUCAAAGAGCAGCUGGCAGCUAUAGCACCAGCAUUAGAACAGUUAGGCAAGCAGAAAGACGAGAGGAUGAAGGAGCUUGUGGAUGUCCAGUCGCAAAUUCAGCAAAUAUGUGGUGAAAUAUUUGCUGGCAAUUUAAAAAUCGGAGAGCAGGUGGGGACACCCACAGUCGAUGAAGAUGAUUUGUCCUGGAAAAAGUUAGAUGAGUACCACACUAAACUCCAAGAACUUAAAAAAAAAAAAAGGGCCUUGUUUUGUUUUUUAUUUUUUUCCUUUAGAAGUUUGUCAUGCUAACUUAUCUUGUUAAAAUCAGAAAAUAUGUUCUAACAUCUGCAAAGCUCUUGAUUUUAUGCACAAAGUUCUAAGGAAAAGGGAUAUGCACAAAGUUUUAAGGAAAAGGGAUACUUAUUUGCAGAGUGAUAGGCGCGCGGAACAAAGUUCUUGAUUUUAUAUGUAUGUACACGCAUACACGCAUACACCCCUGCAAAACCUACACAGCAUGUUUUUUGUGGGUUUAAAUUGGAAUUGAUACAGCACAUUGCAAGGAUUCAGUCAUAUUAAUUACUUUCAGUAUUUGAUUGCUGCUAUUGAGAGACUAACCUGCUAUAAUGAGAUACUAGCAAUGUACCCUCGCUGCGCUGCGAUCUUUAAUACAUUUCAAGAAAAAUACAGAGAAACGUUUAGCUACUAGGCAAUGCAAAAAAUCAAUAAACACGUGUACAACUGGUAGGAGAUAGGGUUAAAUAUGGCGGAACGCAGCAUAUAUAAGCAUUAUAUAUUUUGAGAUACUCAUCCAUCACUUCUUUUUGUUUUGUAGGAUGGUCUAAAAGAAAAGUUUAGAAAUUGAGUGGAAGAUAUGUUAACAAUAUAGAUCUAUGUAUGGUAUGUUACCAUGUAUGCAUCCGUUUUUUCCAAAGGGAGGUUAGGUACAUUCCUGCAUUAUUUUUAAAAAAGAUAAGAGAAAAAUAAAAGCUCAAAAUAUUGAAAGCGAUGAAAAAUUGAUUGGUAUUAAAGAUACAAUACUAGAGCGACGGCUUUUUUCUUGGGAGUUUCAUUUUCAAAGAGUGCGGUACGAAUGCACUUUUCUGGAGUUGAAAUAAUAGCUUCAUCCACAAGAUAAGAGGAAGAAGCUUCAGCACUAAGAGGUAGUUGUUGAUCGUGUGCUUGCAGUUCCUCUUGCUAGAAAAUUUUUAUGACUUUACAGCUAACCGUACUGGUAUCGAAAUUUUGCGAACUAAAUGUAAUAUGGAAUAUAUAAGUGAGGUUGAGUAUCUUUUUGAUAACAAAAGAUAAAAUGAAUCUAUCAGAUCUUCUACUGGUAGCAAGGUUAACUGCUGAUACACAAAUCAAUUGUUGAGCUAAGUUGUCAAAUAUUACGAAAUUUGCUAUAUCUGUAUUAUCUUCAAUUAUUGCAUUCAAUUUUUACCUAUGUGUAGGUUAUCAGAAAAAAUAUUAUUCUGAUGUUGGACCAUAAAUGCAUUUUUUAAACAAACAAAGGAAAACAAAGAAAAAGGUAGGACAAAUAUGUCUUUACCAUGGUAUGAAAGUUUGAUCAUUUUUGCCACAUUGAUUACACCAAAAACUAUUCCCAUAAACUUUUAUAGCACCUCUGCAAUUAUAGCAUGCUUUAUACCAUCAACCGUAGCUACUGUCGAUCUUUUUUGAAAUAGCUUUGCAUGUAAAUUUCAUCCCCCAAAAAGAACUUUUUAAUUUUUUGUUGACCCUAAAGGGUUGAUUUUGAUGAUGCAAAACAACUGAGUAAAAGGAUCGCUAAUCAAUUGCCUUAAGUAUGCUUGAUUGAUUUCAGAAAGCUAAAAAGAAAGCCUCCAAUAACUCUUCGAUGAAGAACAUAUAUUUAAAGCUCUACACCAAAAAUACAACUCCAAAAGGCCUUGACGCAAUCCUUAAGGUUAGAUGCAAGUACAGAGAAUUUUGUUCUAAACUAUCUCAAAAGUCAAUCCCCAUUUUGCAAUAAGUCAACCCUUACACAUUAUCACUGACUGAUAUGCUUUCACAAGUCGACUCUAGUAGGUAGCGAGUCAACCCCAGAACAGUCUCAGAAGCCAGACAGAAAGCUAUGAAAUUUAUCAUUUGGCGAGUUGACCCAUGAAGAAUACAAGCUGACUGCAGUCUAACAUGAGUCGACCCUAUAAACAAGCAAGUUGACCCCUGAAUGGCCAUAGAGAAAAGAUAAAGAGCUGGAAAUUUUAUCACCUUGGCGAGUGGACCUAUGAGAUAUACGAGCCAACUCUAGUCAAAUAAGAGUCAACCUUAGAAACAAGCAAGUCAACCCCUAAACAGCCAUAGUGAAAAGAUAGAAAGCUAAUAAAACUCAGUCCAUUGAAGAGUUGACCCCUAAAAAUAUUGAGUCGACCCCUAUCGCAAAACGAGUCUGACCCCUAAAUUGAGAGAGCCGACUCCAGAAUGAUCACAAAAGAAAGACAGAGCACAGCAAAAUAAUAAUAAGUUUAAGUCGACCCCUGAAGAUCAUGAGUCGACUUCUGGAGAUUACGAGUCGACCCCUCUAGGCUUGAUAACAGUAAUGGUUACUUUUUCUGUAAAUCAGAAUGGAUAUUUUCAUUUUAUUACGGCUCUUUCAACCUAUCUUACAACUAGAAGAGUGUUCCAACCACUUUCAUAUGGUAUAAAUGUAUGGGAACACCAAAAGAAAUAAAGAGAAUGAGAAGUGCGAAAAGAAAUCAAUAAAAAUAAGAGUAAGAAAAAGAAAACAAAAAGAAGAGAGCUUUAAAGGAAAAAUACUCAAGAGUAUUUACUGAGAACUAAAAGAUCAUAUCCUCUUCAAUUGAGAGUUGGUGAAGUGCAUUUAAGAUUAAUCAGAGCCAACUAACUGAGUCAAGCUUCAUUUAUUACUUUAUAUUUAUUGUUCAAGAGUUAUACUUUAUUGUAUUUGCACAUUACCUUCUAUACUAUGUUGUGACAAGUUUUAGGAACUAAAACUUGGGGAAAGGUCUAUUCAAACUAUGAAUUAGAUUGUGUUGAGCCUGGAUAUAUGCUUCGUGUUGGUUUUGGUUGAUUAUCUGUAAAAAUCAACUAGAUUGAUUUUGAGCCCGGGUAAAAUAAUCAUACUGUAAUGCUGGAAAGAUUAUAGUAGAAAUUUCUAAAAAAAAUGUCUUAGAGAGUGAAUGAAGGUGUAGGGUUAGGCAUUGAACCACUAUAAAUUUUAUUUUUUUGUGUUGCUUAAUUUGUUUGCAUUAAUUUUUUCAAUGUUUACUUAUUAGUUAGUUGCUGAAAUUAAUAUUCACCUAUCAAAUUUUUAUUUCAUUGCAUUAUAUUUAAGUUUUCGAAAGAGAUUCAUAUCUUAUUAUGAAGCUAGGAUUUCUUUUUGUCUAAAUUUAACUCUUUUACUUUAGAAUUCCAUGUGUAUGAUCCAAACCCAAUCUACAUCUGACUUUUUUGGUUGGGAGUAUAUAUGGAUCCGACACAACCCAAAUGAUCUGUUGGAUCAAAAAUUUUAGCUAUAGAUGUGAUCCGACCCGAUCCGAUCUUUCAUUAAGUUGGAUGUGUGUCAACAUUAGAAUCCGAACAAGGAAUCAAAAAGGGUCAGGGUCUCACAUAACCUGGUCUAAUCUGACUCAUUUGCACCCCUAGUUCCAAUAGCAAACUAAGUGCAUGCGUGAAUCUUUGUAUUUUGCCGGAUACAUACACCAAAACAUAUUUAUACCAACUUGGCACGCUUAAGGGACCUUGUAAAACACGUACUGUGGCAUCCAAACACCACUCGACUACAUACGUUGCUUUAUCCUGACAAUGCAUAAGAGAGAGACAUAGAGGGAGUGAAGGAGAGAGAGGUAAAGAUAGAGAGACAGAGGAAUUGGAGUGAACCUAAGAGAGAUCUGUUUAGGUGUAGUGCAGAAGAGAUCUACGAAGAGAGAUCAAAGAUAAGGAAGGGAACACACGCAGAGUCUGGUGAGAGGAAGAAGGGAAGGAGAGUGGCCGUAUCUCAACAUGCAGAGAUAAAUAAAAAGAAGGAACUCCAGGUGAUGAGGGCUAGCAGUGAGAGGGACCAAAAGCUUCCAACGAGAGAGAUGAGAGCAGACCGAGAGUGGAGGUCUUGAGCAAAGGGAGAGUGCAAGAAUUGGCAAGAGAUGGAGUACUGUAGCAAAAGCCUAAAUAGAAACAUAGAGGAGAGAGGGAAUAAAAAAAAAGCUAGGAUACAUCAGUUGGCACGUGGUUCUUCCCGAUUUUUAUAUGGAAGGAACAGAGCUUUGAAUAUUAUCUUAUAUGUCGAACGGCAACCUAAAGAGUACAGCAUGAUUCACCGUCAAAAGUUAUCCGCUCAUUCAUACUUGGAGAGCCUAUGAUAGCUUGGAAUACCUGAGACCCUCUAGCUCCGGCAGCGACCAAGAUGAUCUUCAUCACUUGGGAGCCUUGACCUCCGAUUUUCUCAAGAUAGACUUUGAUGGCAGGAUGAGUGAUGGCGGUUGGAAAGGAGGAGCUGGUUUUGCAGUCAAAAGCCCUAACUCGCAUCCCAAUGCAAUGGAUAGGAACCGAAUCCAUGCACCUCUAUUUCAGGAGUUGAGUUAAGAGCAGCUUGGGUAGAAGUUAGCUAUGUGACGUUAUGCCUACGAGCGGACUUCAUCCCGAUAGAAGGCGACUUGGCCACCAUGAUUGAAUAGAUCCGUGGGUAAUCCAUGGUCAUAGAUAGACCACCCUUACUUCUGCUCAUGCAGUAGUGUCUAAAGGAGUGGACCGCCUUCAGGGCAAGUAAUAUUUUAAUUUAUUGCAACGCGAACUGAGCAAGAGAUUAGGUUGCUUCUUUUGUUGCAGAUCACUCCAGUGAGAUAUUGUGGAUGGAAGGUGUGACCUUGCCACCCUCUCUUCGGAAUAUUCUCAUUUUUUUGACUCUUGGAGAUAUAUUCAUACUAAAUUUGUGGGUUUCAUCUGUCUUAGUGCACACAAAAAAAAUAGAGAGAGAGAGUAUAGCAUGCUCAUAAUUAUACAUGGGGUAGAAUCAUAUGGUCAACCCUAAAUGGGUAUCAUUCUACACAAAAAAAUGUCAUUUUCUUGCAAAAUCAAUUAGGAAGUAGAUUUUUUAUACAAAAUUCAUUUCCAUCAAUUACAUCACAAUUAGAUCAUUCGUUAUGCAAAAAUAUGUUCACAAUUUGUUCAUUCAAAUAAAAGAGCAAAGUUAUUCUUGACGCCAUGUUAUUUAUUGGUGGUAUUUUUCCUAGUUUGAUGCUUUUCUUUGUUUAUUCUAUUGCAUACACCUUUUAACAAUGUCCGCAUGUUUCUUUUAAAGAAAAAUAAAUUUCUUACAUAUAUCAAAUUGAUUGUAGAUACUGAAACUUGAUACUUACUGAAAUAUGGAUGUGGCUUUAAUUUGCUGGGUUAUGCAAAAAAAUUAAGCUAUGAAGAAGCGGCUUGGGAAAAUGAACUGAGCAAAGGUAUGCUUUUGCUAUCAAUGUGAUUUUUUCCUUCGUUCCAAAGAAACGUUUACAAUAUCGUAAUUCUAUCCAAAACAGACUAGUUUUGGGAAAACAUCGAUGCUGGGUGUGAUAUUAGCAUUUCUCAAUAGAACAGCAUUCUGAAUCCUAAGCUAUGUCGACCACCUCAGUGCAUCCAAUCUGACACAAGUAAAAUGCAGAGAUUGGUGAUUGAAAAGCAUGAAAAUGAGUUUUUUAAAAAAAGAAAACAGCAAGAAAAAAAAAAGAACAAGCACAGACAUGUAAGGAGGUUUGACCAUUAAUUGGUACGAUUUUUUUAACGGAUUCCCCCUACAAAGCUAAUUUCUGAGAAGUUAUGUAUGCAAACCUAAUCUGGCCUGUAAUUCUAUGAUUUUGCUUGUUGUCUUGACUCAAUACACCCGUCUAAUAUAAACAGACCUUUAGAUAUACGUACUUUCCAAAAUCCAAACAACUCCCCGAAGUAUCUUCCAAACUACUGCAGGAACCGAUCCAGGAAACUGUGGUCUACGGUCCACUCGCUCUCUCAUAAAAAAUAGGUAAUAUGUCACACCUCUCAUACAUUUCAUGGAAGCAUGGGAUUUGAUCCGUGAGCAUUUUUAAAUUGAAUUGAACAAGAAACAGAUUGCUGAUUCUAUAGUGCACUGUUCAUAUAGCAACAUUCCACAUAAUCUUAUCAUCAAAAAGAAGCCUCAACACAGCAUACAGUACGACGCUGGCCUCUUUUCUGGCUUUAACAACCCAAAAGGGUGUCGUAGGGUACAGGGCUACUGCCACCACAGGUAUGCCUCUCUUUUUUGAGUCAAUUAGAUUUAUGCUUCCCUGGUUUUAACAUCUGCGACAUCCUUAUGGGUCAACACUUUCCUUACUAAUAACUUUUUGUAUGAACAUUUUUUCGUAAGCUGCCUGUCUUUGCGUUAUUUCUAUCUAAACUGACAGCAGAACAAGGAAAACCUGGAGGCGUUCGCCGGAAGAGCAAAAGCUCCCCUCCACCCUUGUCGACGUUGCGUGGUCGGCCGCCUCGGGCAGAUUCGGUGAGCAGAGGCGUCGGCCAACUACCUUUUGCCGUGGGGUUGAGAGGCCAUGGCACGGUUCGGCUCAACCGGGUGGCCUCGGCGGCAGCUUCCUUGUCGGAGCUGGGGGUUGCGGCGUCGACGUCGGAAGUCAGGGGCGAAGCUGGGGCGGCCGCGAGCGACGGUGCCAGCCAGCACUUUCCUCCACUUGUUGACUCGAGUUCUGCUGGGACGGGUGAGCUGUGCCGUUUGGCAUAGGUCCACAGUAUCAAGCCAAGGGCCGUGGAAGUGUUGCUCACUAAGGAAACCGACAUUGCCAUGGUUGAUGGAGUGCAGCAGGCUGAAACAGGGGCCGUGGGGGAGGGUCCUGUAGCCUCAGCGUGCCAUUUGGCACAGACAAACAGUGAAGGAUCACACAACCGUAUCAUGCUCCAAUUGCUGGCUUCAGUAAAGGAAGUAAAGGCCAAUGGUGGGGUGACUGAAAGUGGGUUGAGUUUGGAGGAUUCUUGUAGGUGUGGUCCCGGGGAGUUGGGCCAUGCCGUUCCAUCUAGUGAUUUAUGAAGGUGCUUCUUUGGAACUGCCGUGGUGCGGGGAAACCUUUCUUUGCCCUGGCUUAUCUGGAAGUAGUCUAGAUAAAGCAAGGAGGGCGGUGCCGAGGUCGUGGGGAUUUUAUGCAGUGGAAUCUCAGGGACUGUCGAGAGAUAUCAUUGUCACUUGGGCUUAGAGUAAUUGUAGAAUUGACAUUUUCAAUAUUUUCAUUUCGAAAGGUAAUGGGAACCCGAGUCCUCGCAGCUGUGUAUGCUAGUACAAACUACAGGGAGAGGAGGAUUUUGUGGGAGAAGGCAUCCCAAUUGAUUAAUUAGGGCCAUCCGAUGUUAGUAGCAGGGGAUUUCAAUUGCAUUACCGACCCCUAGGAGAAGAUGGGUGGCCAUCCCUUCACCUUUAAAAGGAAAAUUAAGGAGUUCCAGAAUUUUCUUGAUUCGAAUAGAUUGGUUGACUUGGGCUACUCAGGCUCGCGGUUCACUUGGUGUAAUAAUCAACAGGGGCAGGCCCGAGUUUGGAAGAGACUAGACAGAGUUUGCGCCACGGCAGGAUGGGUUCAGUGCUUUCCAGAUUACCAUGUCAGACACUUGCCUAGGAUUGCGUCGGACCAUUAUCCAUUAUUGGUGAGUACCGAGGCACUUAUUCUUGCUCGCUCUCCUUUUAGAUUUGGAAAGAUUUGGAUUUGUUACCUGCGGUCCUGGCAGAUGGUCAGGGAGGCUUGGAGUACGCCAGUCAGGAAGGAUGCCAUGUACCGUUUGUCCCGGAGGUUGGAGUUGACUUCUAGACAAUUGAGGAGGUGGAACCGUGAGGAGGUGGAAAAUAUUUUUAGAAGGAUGGAGGGCUUGGAGGAGGCCAUCACCGGAUUACAAUCUCAGGAGGUCCAGGGUAGAGGCUUAUCAGAGGAGGAGUUGGGGGAGCUUAGAUCACACCUAGCACUGCAUGAUUUGCUCCUUAGACAACAAAAGACUUUUUGGAGACAGAAGUCAAGGGUUCAAUGAAUUUUGGAAGGGGAUCGGAACACCAGAUUCUUUCAUCAGGCGACAGUGAUUAGAAGACAUCAGAACAGGAUCAGAGCCAUCAGAGGUAAGGAUGGAAAAUGAUGGAGGACCCGGACAUGAUCAGGAGGAUUGUGGAGAGUUUCUUCAGAGCUAGAUGGACAGAGCAGAUAGGGGAUGGGAGUUCAGUGGACAUCCCGAUGCCUCAGAUUCGGGUGUUGGAGGAGGAGUCCGCAGCACUGAUCCAGCCGGUUUCGGAGAGGGAGAUUAGGGAGACAGUCUGGUCUCUGGAAGGGGACAAGGCCCCUGGGCCGGAUGGUUUUCCUUUGGUGUUCUUCAGGAGGCAUUGGUCGAUUGUGGGACAGGAGGUGACAAAGGCCAUACAGCAGUUUCUUAGUACAGCUACUAUGUCGAGGGACUGGCAGAGGACAUUUAUCACUUUGAUACCGAAACGGCAGGAUGCUACUGAGCCGGGACAUUUUCGGCCGAUUAGCCUGUGCUCGACUUUGUAUAAGGCUACGACGAAGAUACUUGCCGUUAGGUUGAGGGACAUCCUCCCGAGGUUGAUCAGUUCGGAGCGGGGGGCUUUUUUGAGAGGACGGAGCAUUACAGACAAUGUGCUCAUUGCCCAAGAGUUCAUGUUUGAUCUUCAUAGGGCACCGAUGAGGAGGAGUUUGAUGGGGAUCAAGCUUGACAUGGAGCGGGCGUAUGAUAGGAUGACAUGGGACUUUGUGCGGCAGUCUUUACAGGGGUUUGGAUUUUCCGAGAUAUGGAUCAGCUGAAUGAUGGGUUGUGUACAGCAUCCUUCUUUUGCCAUCUUGGUGAAUGGUACUCCUUCCCGUUUCUUUGAGUCUACUGGAGGUUUGCGCCAGGGUUGUCCUCUUUCUCCCUUACUUUUCAUUAUCUGUGCGGAUGCACUCUCUAGAGCUCUUAGAUAUGCUGCGACUAUACAGGAGUUAGAGGCUUAUAGGCCGGUGGAGGGGAUUGUACCGAUCUCUCACAUGCUUUUCGCUGAUGACCGUUUAUUGUUAUCCCGGUCGACUCGAAAGGCCGCACAGGUUAUCUAUAGGAUUUUACGAGACUAUUAUGCAGUGUCGGGGCAGUGUGUCAAUUUGUCCAAAUCAGCGAUAUGUUUUAGCCCGAAGACUAGGGUGCAAGUGAAGAAUUCUAUUUUGGAGAUUCUGGGGGUGGGUGAGCAGGUGGGUCCACUGACAUAUCUGGAAAUUCUGCUCUCGGAUCAGCGGCUACGUAGCAGGGACUGUACUUCUCUAAAGCUCAGCAUCAGACAUAGACUGGAGGGAUGGCAGAGACACACACUUUCGAUGAUGGGGAGGAUCACCCUGGUUCGGUCAGUACUCUCAUCGAUUUCGACUUACUUUCUUUCCAACUCUCUUAUUCUAGUGGAGGUUUUGAGGACUAUUGAGCAGCUCUUCAAAAACUUCAUCUGGGGGGGAGUAGUGGCAAAGGCGGUAUCCACCUGGUGGCAUGAGAGGUCGUGUGCCAGCCGACCAGGGUUGGUGGAUUGGGAGUGCAGUCUUUGGUGGUGAGGCAGGAGGCUCUAGCGGCGUAUCAUGUAGCUAGAUUCAUGCUAGAGCCUGAUAGCCUGUGGUCCUCACUGAUGAGGGCCAAGUAUGGGGCUUUGGUCCUGGGGGCACGGGCAGGACGGCACCAUUCGCCAGUUUGGAGGGAGAUGUGCGCCAGGGCCAUGCAGGUGCUUCCGGAGAUCAGAUGGUCUAUCGAGGACGGACGAUCGAUCGAUGUCCUGACAGACAGUUGGGUGACCGAGCAGCCGAUCAGUCGUCUGCCGACCCUGGUGGACUCGGCGAGAUUGGAUGGAUACAGAGUAUGUGAUCUACUGGACCCUAUUGGGUGUCAGUGGAGGGAGGGGCUGAUUCGAGAGGCAUUCAGAGAGCAGCUGGCAGAGUUGGUUCUGGCACUUCUGGUUCCAUCGCGAGGGGAGUCUGACAGGCUAGUGUGGAGGCCAUCGAGACGGACGCGGAUACGAGCUAGCGAUCUUCUUCCCAUGUUCAGUAGGGAGUCUGGCCGGCAGAUUGAGGGAGGAUGGAUUUGAAGGAUGCGGAUUCAUCACCGUGUAGCGCUAUUCAUCUGGAAGGCGGCAUGGGGCUGCCUACCGACCAGGAGUCUGCUAGCCCGACGGGAGUGAGGGUCGCGCAGUGCUGUGUGGUGUGCACGAAGGUGGAGGAGACUACUGACCAUGUUCUUGUGCAAUGCCCAAGAGCGAGAGAGAUAUGGAGCAGUUCACCAGUCCCCUUGCCCCAGUUAGUGGAGUCAGCACAGGCUCUGAUUCUUUUAUUGAGAGACUCCAUUCGGAGCCCCAGGUCUUGGGAGGAGGGCAUCCUCAAAGCAUACCUAGCUUACCAUGUUUGGUUGGACAUGUAUGCUGGCAUAUUUGAGGGUAGGAGGCUUUCACCGAUGAUGGUAGUUGAUAGAGCUAUAUCACAGUUCGGGGAAGUUAUUGCAGCCUCAGCAUUGUUCACUGUUGGGAUGGCCAGGGACAUCUGGGGCACUUCAUCUGCUGUCACAGCGCCCAGGUUCGCCCUCGUUUCUUAGGUGUUCCCACCCCUUGGUCAUCUCAAAGUGGAGUUCGACGGGAGCAUGUCGGUGAAUGGUGCUAUUAGAGGUGUUGGAUUUAUGAUAAGAGACUCCUGGGGCAGGCUGGUGGCAGUCGGGGGUCAGCACACGCUAGGACUUUUGAUUGUAGGAGCAGAGCUUCGGGCAGCAUGGGAGGGGUUGUCAUUUGCGAGGAGAGUCCUCGAUGCCGAGUGAGUGCUUCUUGAGGGGGACUCCUCGGUGGUGAUUGACUGAAUUCGAGGUGUGGAUAGAUAUGGUGAUGGCCAUCCCCUCAUUAGAGAUACUCGGAGACUAGCCCAGAAGUUGGAAGGCUUCCAGACAGUACACGUAUUUCGGAAGGCGAACAGAGCAGCAGACUGGGUCGCCUCCUUCGUCGCCCGGCACUCCGAGGAGUUUCUUUGGACAUCUAUGGGAGACAUUCCCUCCUCUUUAUACUCUUUAUUUUUUCGUGAUCUGACAGGAUGUACUCACUUUAGAGCUAUAUAAUUUGCCGUUUUGACCAAAAAAAAAGAAAAGAAAAGAAAAGAAAAGAAGAAGAAGAAGAAAACCUGGCCUCCAAAAACAUGCUGCUCACAAGGCAUGCAACAAAGGAUGCUGCUAACAACACAGCAAAGAAAAACUGGCCACCACAAGCAAGCUGCUGAUAAUCACUAAGCAAGCAAGCAAACAUCAAUGGCAAAUUGGACCUACCACUCCCUAUGUCUCAAAUCUGACUUCCUAAUAUCCUACGCUGAGGUGAUAAAAUCCAAUAUGAUUACCUAAUUGGGGUCUUGAACUCCUCACAAACUACGUGCUUCUUAAUACCACAAUUAUUUAAGCCUUUUUGGGGCUGAACAAUCGCAGCUAUUUCUGGAGCAACCAAACUGAUUGUAGUCAACAUAAAUAGAAGAUUCAAGCCAGGCCAUUAAGCCAUACCCUUCAAGAAGCUGACCUUAGAUUCAGCACUCUGGAAGUUUUUGUUUUAACAUUCUUAACACAUUCAACCAACUUCCUGUCACUAUUUUGGUUCAUCGACAUCGUUCUCAUGAUAACAAGAUGAAGCCGGUAUUACACAGAUCUUAUCAGGCGCACAACCAUAAAGCCAUGCGUACCAGCACGGCAUCUUGUUUAUUAAAAAAAAAAAGAAAUCAUUUUACACAAAUUUCACUACAUGCUAGGACAUUUAGUUCUUCUGGUACAUAAGAUUUAACACAUGAUUCAAGAAAUACUAAGAAGUGUACUUUGUCAAAAGGUACAGAUAAGUAGAAUUUGCAUGGCUCCAAUUCUUAACUCCCAUAGUAUUUCAUGUACAUAUAUAGUCCAUUACAGUUUGUAAAGAACCAAGUCAAAAUCGAUACUCGCAUAAAACAGACUAUUGCAACCAACUCAUAGACAUUGGUCAACUGAUUAGAAAGAAAAAGCUCAACAGACUAAAUGAUUAACUAUGCACAGUUUUAUCAGUCACUUGCAAAGAAUACUUGAAAAAAGAAUCAAAGCCAACACUGCAGAAAAUAAUAUUAGAACACCAAAUUGGAUCAGUGAUGCAAUGCAUGCUGAGCACAACACAUGCUAGCUUUAAUGAAAAAUAUACCACCACUGCCCGAAACAUACCAAGCACAAAUAAUCAUGAAAAUUCUCAAGGUGGCAAAUACUACAUUACUGCGAAUAAGAUGCACUCACAUCCUUCCAAUGGUAGUAAAUAUUUUCCAUCCAUGGCAUAAUUUAAUUUUAACACUAGCCUCAAGCUACAAAACCAUUGUGAUAUUGUGCUCAAGCCAGUUCUUUUACAGGUCAGGAUCACAUCCUGUAUAGGGUUCUAACAUACGGGUUACAGUAAAACAUAAACACAAUCUCCAUUUCUUCACGCCUCAGAAACCUAAUGGAUACAUCUGAUAUAACUGAUGUAAAAUAUAUGCUACCAAGUAACAAAAGGACCAGAUGGCAAUAACAACCACAGCCCAGUACAGUGGCAACAGCCAUACAAGGAAACCAGCCAUCAUCACAGAAUUAAGAUGUAUUCAUCGCUUCAGCAUGAUAUGCGUCCAAGUCUUUGUCUAGUUCAUCAGCUGACUUCUCAACAGUUUGCUUCGUCCCACGACCACGACCACGGCCACGGCCACGGCCACGACCACGGCCGCGACCACGACCACGGCCACGGGUUCCUCGCUGAAAGCCUCCACGGCUCCACCUGCUCAAGGAUAAGUACAAUCACAGUAACAUGCUAGCUAGCACCAAUAAUGUGUGUCAGGAUCUAAUAUAUUUAUAAUCCAAUCAAUUGUUAUACUUACCUCAUCAUAUAUAAGUUUAGAUCAAAUAUGUUAUUUAAAGGAAGUUGCACAAGCUGAGAACAAUAACUGACUCGUGACCAGUAUUAGCUCAAAAUAUCUUUAAGUAUGUUCCAUGCAUGGCCAGGAUGCUAAUAGCUACUUGCUCAGCAAUUGGAAAAGGUCAAAACAUAUUUUGGUCCAUAAACCUUCAAAUUUACAAUUAAGCGACAAUCAUGCAUCACUCACAAAAAGAGAUUACCAUGGGUAAAUAAACUAUUCUCAAAUCCACAAUCCUUAAUAGUUUUACAUCCAGAAGUCGUAACAGUUCUUUAAAGUCAGAUAUGUCCACAUGAUGUUUUGAAGCAGUGUAUGUCAUAGCAUCUUCAAAUUCAAUUGGAUCUCUACUAUAGUUAGUAUAUCAGUAGCAUGAAGCAUAAGAUUGAAACUGAUUUGUUAAUAUACAAAUUUUCCGUCGUUAGCAGUGUUUGAUGCAGGGACUUGAAUACCACCAAUUAAGUAUGGUGCCACCAGUUGGUUUUACAAUGGCUUUCUGAUAAUGGGUGGGUGCAGAAGGCCAAAACAGGCCCAAACCAGGUCAUCCCACAUGCCCAAUCGAAACCGAUUGGAAUGACCAGGACCAUGGCUAGUUCAGCCAAACCCAAACCAAGUGGCUCGGCGUAUUUUCAAAUGAAAAAGGGUGCACAUGGGGCUAGCUCUCUCUCUUUUAUUUUGUCAUGAGGUGCCCCCACCCUUGCCUUUGGACCGACAAAGGAGAGGGAAAGAAAGGGGGGAAAGAUAGAGAGAGAGAGGANNNNNNNNNNNNNNNNNNNNCCGACAAAGGAGAGGGAAAGAAAGGGGAAGGAGAUAGAGAGAGAGAGGAUGGGAGAGAAGGGAAGCAUGCCAAAUUAUGUUUGACAAGUGGUUUCAUUUCUAUUAAUUUUUUAAAUGUCAUCAAAACCAUGAGUGUCAGUACUAGUACUGGCAUCAAACACCCAUCAUUAUACUAAAAACCACUCAAAAAUGAAAAAAUAAAAAAAAUACACUUAAGAUAUACUUAAUAUAAAAAGUUAAGGUGAAAGUAAAAGAAAAAACGAAAACAACAAAAAAGGUCCCAGCACAGUAGUAGGAAUUCAACACACUCAGAGUCAGUACAAUAUACCCCAGUACCAUACCAGUUCAACAGAAAAUUAAUACCACCAUCAAUACUCAUAUUUAAAUCCUUGGUAAUAGUUCAAGGCAAUGUUUUAUGAAACAUGAUUGACCCAUUUGGUUUGACCAACUCAAACUAUCAGUCACCAAUUAAUUUUGGGAUGGUAGGGUUAAAGCCUAAAAUUAACGAAAAAAAUAUUUACAUUGCGAGUCCUUUUUGUUCAAUUAAACCUAGGCAUGUAUCGAGCUGGCCAAGUUCGGGUUGAGACUGGGCUUCACUCUAGAACCAGCAUGCUCGCCCUAGCUCAACUUAGACCCAUGUUUAGGCUACAAACUUUCACCAAAACCUAGACCAACCACUAAUUUCCAAGCCGAUGACCAACCUAAACUAGCCAAACCAAUCUAGAGCGCAAAUCCUCUAUCCUUGUUCCACGCCAAAUAUGUGGCCCUAUUCUAACAUGGCAAAGAAGGAAAGAGGAGAGGGAGCGGAGGGCCAAAGGGAAGGAUGAGACUGAUGUGAUUAGAUCAAGAGAAGUAUUUAGAAAAGAGAGAUCUAGUGUUUAAUAUAUUCAAACUAUAAAAUAAAUAUCUUUUAGAACCUUGGUCCAGAUUGAGUCGGGCCCAUUUAACCAUUUGCAAAACUAACGUAUCCUAUAAUACAAUCAGGCGUCAAAUUGUAUGCCUGACCCAACUUGAAACCCUAACUAGGCCUGCCCAAAAUUGGGUCGGAUGCUGCCAGGUCCAAUUUGCAUAGGUCAAAGAUCAACCAUUAAGUCAGCCGCAGCUCUUCAGCCCAGCAAUGUUAGCUAAAAACUGAAAGCAGAAAAAUAUAGAAUUAAAUGUUUGAUUAAAUGAAACUCUCAUCUAGCUCUUUUACCUUCAUUCAUCUCACAACACACUCUCAUCUUGCAAAAUGCCCAACAUCCAUCAAUCUCCAAUCAAUCAGUAUCUUGAUGCCAAGAAAAAGCCGAGACCAGGAUUAUUGGCUCCUUGGCAUUAGUGGUCUCUCAUCCCUCAGCCACUCAACAUCAAAAAGAGGCCAACCACAACUGGUAGCACCAGUCUAUUGCCAUCUAGAUCCGGGGAGUGUUUCUCUUGUUCAACAUAAUCACUGCGACCAACUAGAUUUAGCAAGUAGUUGGUCAACUCCUCAUUUAUUCUUCUCCUCUGCCCCAACAGUCAAAUCAAAGAGCAGAUAGCCAAUCACUGCCCACGGGUUGUAUCUAAAAAAUAAUAGUGGUUGUCAUCCUCCAAGGGCCAAAUUAAAGAUCUGAUACCUGUCCUCCACAGGCUAGAUCUCCUCUCCAUGUUCUUCUGAGCAUCCAGGAGCAGAAAAGAUCUGGGGAGGAUUUGGGAGUCGUUUGACUGUGCAAGGACUUAGGGAUUGAGAAGGUUUAAUCUAGAAUUUACUCAAUUGAACUUAUAACCAUUAAAAUCCAGCAAGCAGUCCAAGCUUACAGAAUUGAUUUUCAUUAAGAAUAGACCAAACCUAGAACAUGAAAUCUGCUACUGAAGAGACAGUUGCAACAACUAGCCAUCCCAGCCAGCGCCUAAAACUGCCCAAAUUUGUAUUCUUAUGGCCACAUUCUAGCUGCUCCAAAAUCCAAAACAGAUCUCCUCUUACUCCAUCCCUUUCUUGAAUCCAAAUCUGUCAUCUCUGAUGUCUUACAUUGAAGACAAUUCCUCAAGUGUGGUGUCCCUCCAAAUCUGUCAUCUCUGAUGUCUUACAUUGAAGACAAUUCCUCGAGUGUGGUGUCCCUCCAAAUCUGUCAUCUCUGAUGUCUUACAUUGAAGACGAUUCCCUAAGUGUAGUGUCCCUUAUUUCUGUCAUACAUCUAGUAUUAUCCAUUAAAGUUCGAGAAUGCCUUAAUCCAAGAACAGCCCUCUAUAAUUUAAUGUCAAAUUCCAGCUAAAGGAAACUUUUGGCAGCCAGGGGCAUGAUAUGAAAAAUAGCACAUCGCACAGCAUGUCAAUCGGUGAUCAGAAAAUAUGAGUUUCCACACUACCAGCAAAAUGAGUGAAAAGUCAUGAUAAAUAUUGGCCACUAGGAAGACAAUAAACACAACCACUAACAGCAUGACUUCAAAGAAAAACAAGAUAUCAACUAAUUAAACAACUCAUCUAAGCAAAUUAAACCAGUGAGUCCCAAAAUGCAUAGAUUCAUGAUCUGAAAUCAAUCAGAUUCUUAGAAUUGUAUGUCCAUACAAUCAAGGACCACUAUAAUAUAUAUAUAUAUAUAUAUACAUAUUUUAGGGCAAAUAUUUCUUCAUGAGGCCAGAAAUUCAAACUUCAAAUGCAGUGUCAAAAUUUCAAUUAUCAGAAGCAGGAUAGAAACAACAGGUAUAGCUAAGUACGGAUACAACUCAUAUGCAAAAGUCGAUUCAGGAAUUACUAGACUUCUUCAAGAAAUAAAUCUUCAGAGGUCAUGAAACUUCCCGUAUUCUCCACGAAAAUUACAAUGGUGAGUCUGAAAAACAGAUACAUGAAUACCUUACAUGAUUCUUUGAAGACAAUUAGACAAGACAUAUGGAAACUUGAGAAACAAAUCUAUUGAUCACAUAUCAUAUAUAAAAAAUUCAGUGAGAUGAAGAAACUGCAUUAUAAAAAGAAAUUCAAAUAUUGGAACAGUAAUUUAUUGGUUUUUAUGAGCUUACCCUGAAGUACGAUUAAAUGAACCUGAGCUACCUGGACCAACUCCUGGCCUGAAAACAUAAUUUCUUGCAGUGUUAACAAAUAAGGAACGAGGAACAUCUAAGAGUAAAGAGAAAAAUAACAACUAUUGUAGAAGUUUACAUCUAAUAACAAGUUUCCGCAAAUAGUUCAAAGAUAAUGUAUUUUUUCUUGCAUGUCUCCCCAUCAAUUUCACAUUACUUUGUUCAAUUUAAAUCAAGAUUGAAGACCAAUAAGUAAUCCAAACUUUUUUCUAUUAUGUCAGAUCUAUUUAUAAUGAGAAACUGGUGCAAGUUAUAUCACCUAAUCAAGUAUAAGCAGGCAAUAAAAUGAGCUUACAUGGAAUUCUGUGAUAAUAGUACAGUCAUUAAGGUUGACUAUGUUCUGUUGUUCAGGAUAUCGGGAACUAAAGGGAAACAAAGUGGAUAAGAAAAGUAUCCUAAUAGUAUGAAUGUUGAGCAUUAGAGUUCAGACAAUAGAUAACAAUGUAAGGAGUUGGAGUGAAGAUUUGUGAACCAAGCAUUCCUGUAAUCUAAAAUAGAAGUCCUGAAUUUAAAAGACGAUUCUGUCUUUCAAAUUUUCUUCCCAGUUUUCCAUUAGUUUUAACUUUUUAACAAUUCUGUAAGAGCAUCUAUCAUAUAUCAUUACAUAUUUCUACCAAUCCAGAGAACAUCAUGACUUCUCUUCCUAUGGUACCCUCUCCAACUCUGCGCACUUGUGCAAGAUCAGAAGACUCCUCUCCUCACUCUUCCAUCUCUCUCNNNNNNNNNNNNNNNNNNNNAGAAGACUCCUCUCCUCACUCUUCCAUCUCUCUCUUUUUAAUUGUCUCAAUGAUUUUCCUAUUACAUCCUGUGGAAUGCAUGCUUGCUCUGUUUACAUCUAUUCUGAAUGCCUUCAAUUCUAUAUUAUAAGGACACCAAGAAAACCAUAUCAUGCUCAUCUCCCAAUAUUGUGGGCUACCACCCCAAGUAAAACGAUUUGAGCACCAAAAGCCUUUUCUUGCCCAUCCAAAGAUAAUCCCUCUUUCCCGCCCUCCCUCUCCUUCCCACCAUCUCAAGAUUUUAACCAAAUAUAGGAUUUUCUUUUUGGUCCACUCCCCAUGAAAAACCAAACCAGAAAUAAGUAGAGCUUUAGUUAAGACUCAUACUCCUAAUUAUAUAUCUGAUGAGUGAGCAAGGUUCGCCGUCUUCGCACCAGACCCCAUAUCAAUACCAUCCUAUUACAGUGUUAGUACGUGGUUCGGUACAGUACAACUCGGCAUACUGAGCAUCGGUUUGGUAAGGUAUGGCAAUACUGGUACAGUAAGGUACCGUCCAGUACGGCAAUCCUUAUGAGUGAGAGCACCGCUUUGAUAUAUCCUUAAUAUAUAAGAGUGGCUUAAUUUCCCAAUUUUUAAAUUUCCAUAAUAACCCUAUAAGACAAUCUUAAAAGUUUAUAUCAAUCAUGCAUAGGCUUCUACAGCAAAAACAAAUAAAUAAAUAGAGGAUUUUAACAUUAUGGACUCUAAGAAGUCACUUUGGGAAAAGCUCGUUAAGUUGAGAUUUCCAUGAUUUUAUGCAGAAUGAGAGUAGCAAUUCUUUCAAAAUUCAAAUUUAUAACAAUUUAUUGGUCACAGCACAACUUAAAUUUAUCAACAUCGAGAACUCAAUAUAGCAGAUAAAUUUUAAAAAUCAUAAACAAUGCAACUUAGUACCUAACCAUAUUUUUCAAAAUUUUUCCUAUAUCUAAAUCUUUAAUAGUAGCCGCACACAUUUGCAUGUGCAUUACAACGAGUAUUUAUUAACAUUAAGUAUGAGAUACUCGUGAACAAAUGAAUGCCCUAAUCUCUCCAAAUCACUAUAUUAGUCUUUCUUUCUGAAAAAGAAGAGGAGGUGAGAGAGGAUAUAUAAGGGAAAGAAAACACAUAUUCAUACGAUAAGAAUUCAUUUUCAGUAGACAAUCUCUCUGUAAUGACCUUCCAACAUAUUCAUCUGCAUCACCUAUCAAAUAAGAACUUUAAAUUAUACCAUGCAUUGCAUCAUAAAACCUAUUUUUCAAAUUUAAAAAGGUCUAAAUGACAAGAUCCACAAUGAGAGAAGUAACAACAUUGCUGCCACUAGCUACAAAAUACAACCAAGCAGCUAGCACCUAGCAAGAAGUAGUAGGAGAGUAGCAACAGACAGUAGGUUGCAAGGCCAUGGCCAACAUCCAUCAAGAAAGAGGAGGCAAGAAGAAUAUAAGCUAGCAACCAAAGCAGAAGAGACAAAAAAAAGGAGGAAGAAUGGCUAGAUGAAGAAGAGAUGGAAGCCAAAAAAGAUGAUGACAAAUUCAGGGAAUGGAGAAGAAGAUGAUUCAUCUCAGGAAGAAGAAGAAAGAAAAAAAUACAUAUAAACAAACCUGGUACUAGUGCUCGCCACUACAGCGGUCGCUGCCAGUCAUCACAGCGAUUGACCUAUUGAUAACCACUAAUCAGCCUACUAGCUAAUACUAGGUUUGUGAUAGCAUUUACUGCCCUUCCACAUGUCCCAUAUCGAGCUCAAAUAGUAAAGAAAAUUGGAAAAGAAACUAUUAAAGAAGUAGGGUUUAAGCAGGCUUGGCCUAGGCAACCUGACUUACAUGUGUGCCCAAGUUUAACAACAUUGGCUUGUAAAAUUGAUGCCAUCAUCUGAAGUAUAGAUUAUGUAUUUCAAUAACCACUAUGCUUAUGGUUGUGCUUUUUACAUAUAUAUGCACAUGUAUAUAUUUGUGUAUGUAUGAAUACAUUGUGUAUAAAAUAGAUAUAUCUUCAUACAUGUAUCCCAGUUGUAUCCUACCCAAGGUUCAUCAUAUCAGUCUAUCCAUAUCCAGUAUCCAUGUCCAUGCUUCAAAGAUCAAUAUACUACUACAAUUUAAGAGAAUGCGAAUUUAUUUAACAAAAGUUCGACAAAGGAUAAUUAUACUUAUCAAAUAAUCAUGAUAAGUAUUUAUAAUAAUGUGGGUGUUAACUAGACAUAAAAAGAUUUUGUUGUAACCAAUAUGUCUAUUUUUUAUUCAAGAUCAUCAUAACAGUGGUGGAUGAUUGUGCACUAGUCCCUAUUACACAUGCACCCAGCAAUAGCACUGAACUCCAAGAUCUUCCCAUCAUUAAGAAGCUAGCAUCAGCAGAUUUAGACCCCACAAAAUAAGCAAAUAAAUAAAUAAAUAACCAAAUUUAUUUUUUAGGCAUGUAAUUACAGAAUCAACUUGAACUUACAACACCACCAGAAGCCGCAAAAAGCAUCAUUAAUUGAUAUUCCGAGGUAACAUACUAAAAUAAACGAACAAAAAUUUAUAAUACAUUUUAUUUUUUUUAAAAAAAGAUCUGCAGGAAGGUUCACCUACAGAGGAGCAACCUGGACUGGUUUAACCUAAACCAAGCCUAUACCACCCUGUGGUUUGAGUCAUGAUGGACCAAUAUUUAUCCUAUUUAACCUAGGUCAGGCUUGGGUUAUUGGCUAAUUUCAAGUCAGGAUGGCUUCAGGUUGAAGGUUCAGGCAAUCUGAACCAACAAAAACAAUCCAAUUAAAUAUAAGAUGUCUCUCAACCCACUCCACCUCAUGUAAAACCCAAUUUCCGGUGAUCCAAUGCAAUCCAAUGCCACAUUCUAUAAAGUAUGGAAUGUCAACCUUGCAUAAUGUAAAUCCUCCUAGAACAAAAAUCUGGCCCCAGCCCAACCCAAAUGUGUUUGGGUUAUUUGGACUAAGAUUUGGGCAUGGUUGGUUGGUCUAUUUUCCAGUCAAUCAGGUACCAAGGUUGGACAUUUUGUUGGUCAGAUGACUCAGGUUAGUUUGGCUUACCUGCUGACAUGAAAUACAGCCCGCACAAGUUAGGUUGGACAUUUUGUUGGUCAGGUGAUUCAGGUUAGUUUGGCCUACCUGAAUACAGCCCACCCAAGUUGCAUCCCUUUUAUCAAGGUAAAAAAACAUGAGACAAAUGGAAACUUAUUGGCAAUGGCCUUCAGAAGCCCACUAAAUUUUAGUUCCUCCAGAUAACUAACAAAUAACAUAUCAUAUAUAUUGAUUUAGCUUUCAACUAAGUGAAAUCUCCUACUUCUGUUUAAAGAAUUCUAGAUAUAUUAAUCCAUCCCUCCCCAUCAUUUUAGGUGCCUAUCAGAGUGUAUGGCAAUGCCCAAAACAAUCCAAGUAUACUGAGAGAGAGAUCACAGAAAUAUCUUGUAUAGAGAUAGAACAAAUUAUUUGCAUGAUAAUAUUCACCAAAAAUUCUUAUUGCCAACCUCAAAGAAUAUAAAAAGGCUUAAUUAUUAUUGUUGAUUAUCACUUCUAGAAAUAUUUUUUUUACAAUAAUCACCCAAGAAUACAAGAUGAAAAGUGAAUGUCAGAACAAACCAUGUGACUAGUCAAGAGCUCACAGCAUAAAAGAACUGAAAGGAUCAUAAUCUCAAAACUGAUUCAAACAUGUGGAUACUGCCAUCAAGACAACAAAGACUAGCUAAAACUAGGUGGAGGAGAGUGCAAUAUAAUCAAGUAUACAAAAGGGGUUAUAUGCUUUAAUCUUAAAAACAUGAUUAGGCUCAUAAAACUCCAAUCCUUUUAACUUAUGCCCAACAAUUCGGUAUAACUUACAAAAAGAAUGAACUUACUACCAAACAAAGAGGUAAGACCUAAAGAAAUACAAAUGCUACUUUAAAAGAACAAUUAGUUGAAAAGAGGCAAAGAUUAUAAUCAGUAGAAGAAGUGCAGCUAGGUAACCAAAAAUAAGAGAGAACAACAUACGUCAUGACAACUGUCCUCUUCUGUCUCCCAGUUGCACCCCCAACUACAUUUACUCGAGGAGUGACAGGCAAGCCUAAAUUAGUUCCAAUCACUUCUAUUUUCAUAGCUUUACCAUCCAACUGAACAUUGUUAUAUCGUUUUAAGGCAGCCAAGGCAUCACUUCUCCUUGUAAACACCACUUCUGCUGACCCCUGACAAGAAAUUUAAAGAUAUAAAAUCAUAAGAAAAUUCGUGUAAUGACCAAUUGUCCACAAAAUAAAUUUAAGAAGCAUAUGAAGCCUUGGGAAAACAUUCUUCUGCAUUAAAUGUGCCAAAGGGAUAUUUUUGUAAAGAAAUAAACCACCAAGCAAAUCAGGGGAUUGAUUGCACUUCUACAAUCAAAAUCACCAAUCUUAUUUCACUGCUUUGAAUUAAGCCUAUAAGAAUAUCGAUAUUAACAAAACAAAAUCUUAAAGUUGGCCCACCUAGUAUCAAAACCAAAUAUGUUGCUUGAGACCUAGUUUCCUGGUUCAAAGUUCCACUAGUUGGGGGCAAACUCCCAUGCUAUUAAACAAUCCAUUUUGAAAGUGAUAAUGAUGGGGCAGGGCAAAAAGACACUGUCUUCUUGGCACAUGGUGCUCAAAAGGCCAGAGAUGGAGAAAAUCAGUCAUUUGAUUAAAAGAACAUGGCAACAUGGCAACAGAUUCAUGAUAUAUCAAUUCAAUGUAGAAAAAAACAGAUGGAAGAUGGGAUACUUAGGGAUUAAUACAAUCCAAGAAACAUUGAUUCUAGAUAUGUUCUACUAUCCUAUUUAAGGUCGGCGGAUUGUCCCAAACCAGGCAGUUCCGACCGUUCCGAGCCAUACCGGUGGCUCACUGGUGCAGUUCCGGCAAUGGAAACAGGACCCGUUGCCGAAACCGAAGAAGAAAAGAGAGAGCGAGGGGGGGAGAGAGAGACGGAAAGGUCGGGACGCCGACGGAGGCCGCGCAGGUGAGGCCACGGCCGGUUCCUCUGUUUCGAACGAAAUAAGGGUCCGACCGCGGCUUAAAAAAUUUUAAUUUUUAAGUGAAGUUAGUAAAUCGUUUGCCGACCUCACUUAAAAAUCGUAAAAUUUUUUAAGCCACAGCCAAACUCCUGCCUCCACCGGGCCCCACGGCCUCCAUCGGUCUCCCGUGGCCUCCGCCAGCCUCUCUCCCUCCCUCUCCCCCUUCUCUCUCUCUUUUUCUCUCUCCCACGGUAUCGUGCCCUCGUCGGUAGAUGCCUGGCACGGCCUGUACCAACUCGUGCUGCCAGAGAACCAGUACGGUGCCCGAUACCGGUUCCUCCGACCUUGAUCCUAUUUAUUAAUUCCAAAUAUGUUCUACUAUCCUAUGUUCUACUAUUCUAUUGAUUAUUGAGCACUUGAGCAAGCAUGGAAAUAUAUAUUAAAAGAAGCAAUGAUACCGGCAGUUAGUUCUUUGAUUAAUGAAAAUAAAGUGUCUAAGGGUGGUGUAAGUAGUAGGUGCAGAAACAAGAUAGAAGGUUCUUACAACUAAUUCCCAGAUACACAAAUUAGAUGCCAAAGUAGCACUUCAUUGAUAGUUCUAAGCCCAUAAUUGCUCUAUUGAUAUAACCAUUGCAAAGACAAGGUAAUUAAUAUAGUUGAAAUCACAGAUUACAAAAUCAUGGUAUGGGCCCAUGCUGGUAACUGGCCAGUAUGAUACGUCCAAGACAAGAUACAAGUUGGAACCUAUAGGUUCAAAUGAGAAAAGACAAAAUUAAAAAAAAAAAGACGAGAAUCGAUGCACCAAGUGAUAUGAGAGUGGUUCUGACUGGUUUGCCAACAAGUCAAUCCCAAGGGGUGUCAGGUACUGAUCCCUGGCUGGUAUAGUUCGUAGAAAAGAAAAGGUGCACCAAGUUCUAUGAGGGUUGUUCUGACUGGUUCACCGAUGAAUCAAAUCUCAAGGGGGUCUCGGAUACUUGCUCCCGGAUAGCACAGUUUGUAACGGCAAGUAUAGUUCAUAGUUGCUGAUACAGUACAUACCACCAAGCACAGUUCGUACCUGGCCAGUACAAGCAUGCAUUCAUCCAUGCAUGCAUAGCACACGCCAGCAUGAGCGUAUAUAUACAUACGUACUACAUGCAUAAAUGGUAAAAACCAGCAAGCAUGCAUGCAUACUUACAUGCACACAUACAUAUAUUUAUGCAAGUAUGCCUAUGCGUCUGUGUAUAUACAUAUGUUUACAUACAUACAUGUAUAGGUAUAUGUAUAUAGUUUUUCUUAGAUAAAUAGGGCUAUCUUUGGCAUGAAUAUAUACAAUUAGAUCAUUUAUCAAUUUGCUGCUUUCCAGUUAUGAAUCUCACCAGAUCUUAAAAUAUUGUUGUUCAGCAUUACAUUAUUUUAUUGCAGCAUAUACAUGAACCUCUCCAUGUAUUGAUCAGCAGCAUCAACUUGCAAGCAGAAUUCCCAAAUUGAUAUCUAUAUUCAUGGUAAGUUUGAUACCCAUAGAUUAGAACAUCAGAAAGUUCCUUCGCUCCUACUCUCUCUCAUUGAGAUUGUUAUGCUAAUUCAAUAUUCUAACAAAAAGCUAAUUCCCUUCUUAACAAGUAUUAAAUUAUUAAUUCUAUUCCUUUCUUCCAUCUGCAUUCUACUACGAAGUACAUCUAUUUGUUUCUAUUGGAGAAUUUGGAGAGUAGCAUGCAAGUACAGUUACAAUACUAACAGUCAAAUGUUUUACAAUCUAGAAAGCAAGCAAGAUAUCCUAACAACCAUGAAAUAACAACACCAGUCAUGGAUGGCUUCCCCUGAAACCAACGCCACAUCUGAAUUGAUUUCUCAAACUAAAGCAUCAUUCCCAAGUACUGUGCUACAGUUGUCAUUAUUAAUUUCACAUAUCUAAAUGCAAUUAUCCAACAGAUUUUUGUAAUUCAAAGAUUCACAUGUAUAAUACCAAUCUGACAAGUUUAACCUUAUAAACAUGAUAGCAGGAAAAUCAUAAUUUUUUAUCUAAUUCAAUAUUCAGAUUAAUAGGCUGUUUCAAAUCAUUCUUUAACAAUAAUGGGUGCGUCCAAAUAACCAAUCCACUCUCCAGAUCUACACAUCCUGAAAGCUAUAAAACUAAUGCAAAUAUUUCUCCCUUGUGAAAACUUUCACCUUAUUCCCAAUAUACUUAUUUAGUUCUUUUUAUUUCCACAGCUCACUUUCGAAGUUUCAGCUUAUCAUGCCCAAGAUAUACUUCCAAUAUUUCUUUGUUCACCUAAUUCCCAAAUACUAGACAUACCCCUAGCUUCCAAGAAACCCAACAACUGCCAACGCAAUUUAUUAUGCCAAAAAUAUACCGUCAAUAUUCCUUUCUUGCGAAAGCUUUCCUCUUAUUUCCAAAGUACAUUUAUAAAGUUUCAGAUUUUUUGCUUGAAAUAUACACCUAUGUUUCUAAGAGGCCCCGUAGACUAUCAAUUAACUUUAUUAUGGCGACAAUAUAAACCCCGAAGAUGGCAAGGGGGAGAUUGAAGACAACAAAAAGAUCCACUCAGGUUAGCAUGUUAAUCAGGUUGCUUCCUAUCUCUCAGUUGUUCUUAUGUUACAUGAUAUAUCAUAUGGUUGGGAAAAGGAAACUAAACUACCAAACAAUACCCAAAACCAAAUUGGCAUCAUACUCAUUUAAAACUGGUUAUUUAUAGAUACUACCCAUUGACUUCUAUAAAUUUUAUGAACUAGAUAUUUUAGAAUAAUUUGCUUCCACACAUUACUGUUUAUUAUGUAAUUUUAAGCACUAAAUUUUGCCGCUAUUUUGGAGCUUUAUGUGCAAACGCACAUGUAAUGUAACUAGUAAUCAUAAAUGCAGUUCAAGUACAAGAAAAAUAAGUUGGUGGCCUUGAAGUUACAAAAUGAGAGAGAGAGAGAGGGAGAGAACAAAUCUUUCCUCUUCAAUUACAAAUUUCUCUUAAUUAAGUGGUAUAAAUGACCCUGAGAAAUGUGUCAUGUAAAUGAGCAUAAUCCUUCAUAUAGCCCGCCUGAUUUUAGUGAAAUACCCCUAGCACACAUGACUUGUAGAGCUGAAAGAUUUUGACAUCCCCUACCAUUCGUCUUCUUUCUCCGUUAGCUAGAUGUUUUCCACUAGUGCAAAAAUGCACUAGAAUUUAGUGUAAUUUAUGCACACCAAGGAAAAGUAAUAUGGAUGGCCCCUAGUCACAGAGAAAACCAUAUGUGAAAACUCAACCAUAAGGCUUUUAAAUUAGAAUAUUUUGGCAGACAGAGACCAGUUUUAUCAGAUAUAUCAUGUCAAGCCCCAUAGUAUGAGCAAUAAUUGUUAGAAUGCAUCUAUUCUCAUCAAAGGUAACAAAAAGAUUGACUGUCUCCAAAUUACAAGCACAUAGACCAAAGUAACAGUCUAUUUCUCAUUUAAACUCAAAUGUCUAUUUAUUUUGGGUUCUCUUCUCCUUUGAUUAAAAACUCAGGAAUGAAAACCAGUUAUUAGAAGGUUCAAUCCUAGGGUAACAUUGUCCCUCCAAGAAAUCAGGGUAUAGGAUAUUCCAUUCUAUGCUGCAUUGUUUUUCCAUAUGGUUUUUCCCUAACAUGACAAUUUCUUACAAAGAAGAAAGAAAUUAUGACACAAUUUGAAAGCCAAGUUACUAGGAUACAGCUUGUCAAGGGUUGCACCAAGGUUUGCCAUACCAAUCGGUACCAUACCAUAUCAAGCGUACCAUAUCAUAACGGUACCAAACAAUAUACAGUACCAUACCGUACUGACACUUAAUACACCGAGUUGUACUGUACUGAACCGCAUAUCGACAUUGUCAUAGGAUGGUACCAGUGUAGGGCCCGGUACCGAAAUGGUGAACCUUGGUUGUACCCUUUUAGUACCUACGAGUUUCUUCUUAAGGACCUUACCCAAGUGUUAUAACUGCAACCUGGACUAAUUGUUGGGUACAAGUACUUGAGGCUAAGGUAAAGUGUCCAGACAACAAAACCUGAAAUUAACAGAACAAAAGGAAAAUAGUUGACAAUAACAACAGAAAACAAAUUCUUUACCCAAAAAGAUUGAGUAUAACACCAGCAAUGACAAUUAUUUUCCCAAUUGAAAAUCAAAAUUUCAUCAGCUCAAGCAAAGAGUAGUCCUCCCAAUUCAAUAUAUCAAACAAAAUAAGAUUCUACAUUAUGAUGUGUUUCCGAUUUUUCUAAAAUGACAAUUUCAAUAAUCUAAGAGACAACUUCUAUCACAGACCACGUGCUUUAAAUAGAAAAUACAAACAUUAGGCACUUCAAAUGUAGAAAAGGGAGAGAAGACAAGAAACCCACAGUUGGACGACCAUUUCUGUCAUAAUGAACAGCACACCGCCUAAGCUCACCAACCUCCGAAAACAGCUCCUGAUUCCAGUCAGAAUAAAUUCUUGAAAUGAUAAGCUUGACUCUCAAUAGGAAGAGAAUGACCUCAAAUACAUUACCUGCUUCAAGGGUUCAGCUUACCUUCAUAUCUUCAUUAGACACCCCAUAAUCCAAGUUCGAAAUGUACAGUUUUGUACCCAUUUCAAAUCCUGAAAGCCCAGCAGCUACCAUGCUAUCAUCAAAUAGAUCAUGCCUCUGUAUCAUAUCUUUUGCUUUGCUGAAGGACUGACAAACAUGAGAGCAAAUGUCCAUAUUGCAGAAUGAUUGUGUUAGCACAAAACCCCAAACUCAUCAACACAGCAUACUUGGCGAGGAAAUUAGUAUAUUUUAAUUCAACCUUUGGACGACAGGAAAAAAAACUCAGCAAUAUAGCUAGCAAUAAAGAUGUAUACUUGUGUAUGAGCCAUUAACUAAACCCAAACCAAAUAGCAUACAAAGCAUACAGAUAACAAAUGGAAGUAGAGAAAUCCACCCAUAUCACAUAUGCUGAUGAUAAGCUACUUGCGAGAGCUCCAAUUCUGAAAUGAACCAGGAUAUGCACUUCAACAAAAAACACUCCAUGAACAAGCAUUAGAAAUGAGGGUCCGCACUGCUGAGUUCCUGAUUUAGCAAGACAAUUCCUUGAAACUCCCCCCCUCAAGAUCCAUUGAUAAUGAAUAUGCACCAAGAAAGAAAGACAUCUGACAUAAGCUGCUUGAGCCUCUCCAUGUUAAAAAGUUCAGCAAUCUUCUCCUUCAUGAUUGGUUUCUACAACUACUCAGAAUCUUGUGCAUAUGCAAAAGACAGCAAUAAUUUUGGGCUUGCUUUGGUGAUUGUGCAUGGAGAUGGCCAACUAUUAACUUGAGAGGCUCUUGACUAAGCAUAUGUAAAAAGCUUCACUGUAUAAAAGACUCAAGAAUCUUCUCCUUCAUGUUUGGAAUUCUACAGUUUUUCAGAUUCUUGAACAUAUGCAAGAAAACAACAUUAGUUUUGGGCUUGCCUUGGCGACUGUGUAUGGAGAUGGCCGAAUAUUAACUCCGAGAGGCCCUCGACUUAGCAUCCCUGAUGCCCUUCCACGAAAGGUGCCACCACGUCCCCGGCCCCAACCACGGCCCCUCCCAUGGCCUCGGCCUCUCCCUCUCUCACCAUUACUGCGCCUUAUCAGAUCAUCCAGUGACAUACUUAAAGAUGUUGCUAUUCAAUAACAGAUCUAGAAAGAUGAUACUAAUAGGAACCUGCAAUUCCAAAAAAUAAGGAACCAUAUUCAAUUUCCUUAACAUUCAGUUUAAAAGGGAAGAAAAAGAGCUAAGAGAUAGAGAUGCAUAAAAUUUUACAAAGAGACUGAAUCAAAAUUUCUUAUGAACGACAAACACUAGCCGCAGAAAAUUACGCAAAACUAAUAAAGACAUAAAACAAAUCUAAAUAGAAACUAUACAUCAGAAAACAGCAAGGCAGUACACCUACAGAAAUUGUUCAAACAUCAAAAGCCUUAUAUUAGGUUAUGAAAACUUAACCUUAAUACAAACAGAACUCAUUAGCAGCUGAAGUAUCGGAACGUACAGCAUCAAGUCCCAAAAUACUAAAUCUGACAAACUCAUUUGAUCAGCCACCACAAAACUUACAACAUUCAGGAACUGAGAACCAUUCUGUGAUCAAUACCAGAAAAAGAGACAUUCCAUGUUUUGGUAGAAAAAAAGAGUGUUCUUUUCUUUGUGUAAUAAUUAAAAAAAAAUGAUGCGCAUGGUUAUAGCCUGGAAGAAGGCACUAUGGUGCCAAAUUUGCAUGGAGGCUCCAAAUAAACAACCAACAAAAAAAGAAAGAAGACAUCCAGAUCAUGAACUGUUUCUACUUUUGAGAAAGGAAAUCUCAGAUCAUUAUGCUGAAAAAGGAAGAAAAACAUACAUAUCAGUGAGGCCCCCUUUUUUUUCACUUCCCACUUUAUUCAUUAGGAUGUCCAUCCUGCUCAUAAACUUUAGACCUGACAAAAAACAGCCUAGCCUAACCAGAUUUUUGUCAGGCCCAUGCUGCAGUUUUAGGCCUGACAGGCCAGGCCGGGCCUCAAUUUUUAAGCACCAUUUGAAAUAGGAUAGGCUCAGGCUCGAUAUUUUUUGACCUAGGCUAGCCUAGCCUAGCCCAAAUAGUAAAUAUACUUUUAUACUUAUACAAUAGUUAUAUAAAAUAUAUCAUUUAUUAGGGGAAAGAUGGGAGGACUGAUGGACAGAAAAGGGAGACUUGGGAAAUCCCUAACUCUCCCCACUCCUCUACCCUCACCAUCACUGCCCCCUAUCCCCGCCUCACCAUCACUUCAUUCAACCUUUAACAUGAUAGAUUCCCCUUGCCGCCUGCAUCCUCUCUCUCCCUCAGCCCCUCCCACCACCCCCUGUUGCAAGGACACCAAAUACAAGAAUCGGAUUUGGAUGUGCAUCCAAGUGUCUGACUCGACAAAAGGGAAAAAGAGAGACACUGGGAUACAUAGGAUAAAAUAUGAUUUUAACCUAAUUAUAAAUUUAUAUCUUUAAAUAUUUUAAACAAUAAAAAGAAACUAUUAAAAGAUAUUGUUUGUUAAGAUUUUCAAUUACAUGUUAUUCAUUCAAACUUCCCGAUUACAUGAUUAACUUACAGAUAUGAGAAAUUUACCAAGUUGUUUCAGCACCUACAUUCUUAAAUAAUCUCUAAAAAUAACAAAUACUCACUCUUAACAUCAAAAUAGAGGAUCAAACUCAUUGUCAGGACCGUUCAACUCUCUAUCAAAUAACUUCCUAAGUAUCCAAGUGUCUGAUACAUUAGCGAUACAUAACCAACACGGUUUUUUUGGAGCUGGACAUGAGUGUCCAAGUGAAACAACCCCCAUGGUGCCUCCCCCCUCUCACCCUCUUCUACCCCAUCCUCUCUUUGCCCCCAUUAACCCUCUGCUAGAUGGAAGAUCAAUGGUGAUAGGCAUGAAAGGGUCCAGACCACAAUAGCCUCCAAAGCCAACCAGCCUUGAAAAGUGCCAGACACACCUUUCUCUCCUUACCCCCCCAAUUCCUGCUUUCUCGUGCUCUCUCCCUCCCUAUACAUCACCGAUCAUCAGAGAAAACCAAGCCACCUAUAGCAGCAGGGCAAUCAAGCCGGGACCAGGCUAGUUCGUCUCAGGCCAACCCAAGUUAGUUAGGCCAAGCCUAACCAACCCAUCUUGCCCAGGUCAAGUCAGGCCGCACCCUUCCUUUUCCGCUAGGCUAAGCUUGGGUCAUAUAUUUCAAAGUCAAAGCGGGGCCAUGUCGAGCUCAGGCUAGUUGUUUUUCUAUUAUCCAGCUUGAACCUAAUUCAGCUCAACUAAUGCACAAGUUCAACAAACUUCCCAUUAGUGAUCCACCUGCAGGGUAUACCUUAAAGGCCAUUUGCAUGUAAUUGUGAGCAUUGUAUGGUCCAUAAUCAUAUAAACAAUAUAGGGUAUGUGUCACACAUCAAUCUUGGAGCUGCAAAAAGCCCACAAGUACUCUAGGGGUUUUAUCCAAGUGGUUGGAGUGUUUACCACGAGAAGGAUCAGAUAUUUCUAAGUGCUCGAAAUGUGUUUACAGCUAUAGGUAAGAUUGUGAUAGCAAAUAUAUGGCUGAUGAGAUGGACAAGGACUUCUUGGAGUCUUUCACCAAGAGUGUCCUUGCACUGACGCUUGGGUAUGCUGUCACAUUGAAUAGUCAACACUGGCACUCCAUCUCGAAAAGCACUGUCAAGGAUUGGGGUGUGAACCAGGUACACCACUUGCAAGUGGUAUCUUGAUCUUAAGCAUAGGACACCUUGCUGUAUUUUGAACGUUACUAAAUUUACAAUCAAACCUAUAUACCGGCAAUGAUACCCUAAACAAUAACCUUGCUAAGCAACAUAGCGGUUUAUUAGAUUCAAAAUGAGUGAGAGUCUAGCUAUCUAACAUCAAGACCACCAUAUGGCACACUAUCCAUACUAGAACAGAGAUGUACUCGAACACAUAAGGCUUGAGGCUACACAAUUACUUAAAAAUUUAAAGAUAAUUAUUUUGGUAAAAUUGUUAUAAUUGAUCAUUAAUUAUUUUCAAAAGAUUUUGUACGAACAAUUUUUUUAAGAAAAAGCGUUUCAUAUGUUAUAGGAUUCUAAUAGACUAUGACAUUCUAUGUCAAAGGGUUUCACCAUGGCUCUCUUUACCACCCCAAACCGUACCGAGGGGGAAUCAAGAUGGUUCCCCCCUUCGAUUCAAAACAACAAGCAAACCGAUCCGAAUGGGAUAGUUUGGAGCAGUACCGACGCAAAGCCUAAUUCGCACCAAUUUUGGCUCCCCCCCCUCUCAUGCUUCAAUAAUAGAUGGGGAAGGCUAAGAAGGCCUCCCGUACCUUCUCAACUGCUCUCUCAUUUAAAAAAAACAAUCUUGAAAAAAAAGGAGAAAAUGUGGGACUUUGCAAGAAUUGAGCCAGAUCUAAGCUAAAAUCAGCUAAUGAGCCUCUCCCCCUCAUUUUUUUUUUCUUUUUUUGUUUAGAGACUAAAAAUUGAUAAUAAAAUGGAAAGAGACCAUGCCAUUUUUUUUAAUUUUAGCAUGAUUUCAUAAUAUGUUAUACUCUUAUAGACCUAUGGAUGAUCUAUACAAUGACACCAAAUGAUAAUUUUCCAUUAACUCUAUGAUUUUUAAUAUUAAAAAAUUAUUUUUAAUUAAAAAUUAAAAAAUAAAAUAAUUAUCAAAAAAACUAUAAAAUCAAUGGCUUGACUAGGGGUAUGCAUGCUAUACUCUAUCAAAAUUUGGUGUCAAUUUAUUUAAGUUUGGACAUGAUCAUACGCAUCAUGACAUGCAUCCAAAUUCAAAUAAAUUUGAAAAAUAAGUGGCAUUUUGUGCAUGCCCACGGGCUAAAAAAAAUAUAUGUAGCAUCCUUGGUGGGGUGUUACACUAUUCCGAAGUCAUUAAUUUUGUGAAUAUUUUCUAUUUAAAAUUGUUUUUGAAAAUAAAAAAUACUAAAUAAUUUCACUCAUAUAUCUAUUCAUCAUAUGUUGUUGUGUAUUUUGAGUACAACUAUCAUGCUAAACUAAAUACAAACUUAUUAUCAGCUAUCUAAACCCAUGGUCCCAAUACAAUGUCCCUAGGGUAGGUAUGGAUGAGAAACUUCUAGCUACCUUAUACAAUAUUACUUAUAAGAUAGAGCCUAAUCUAGGAGUCGUUACCCUAUGUUUGGAAGAGGCGAGCCAAUUUUGUCAACUUUGUCAGCUCAAAUAAAUAAUUGACAUCACAUAACAUAUAUCUUCUCUACAAACGAAAAUGUUUAGAGAGAACUUAGGCAACUUUGGCGACCAACCAGCUAUAGAAAGCAAAUAGAGAAUGAAACCAAUUUUAAGACAUGGACCACAAUUGUUACUUUGAUAUUAUACAAUUAGUAUUCGGUAGCAUCUGAUAUGUAGUUUUCUUAAAUGAUUUUGCAACCGAAUGGUUGAUCCACUUCAACAUAUUAUCCAGGAAUCUAAAACAGCUAGCAAUCCAGAUCCUAUCACAAACGGCCUCCUUCAGUGGUUGUGAACGCAACUGGCCUACCUUUGCUUUCAUACACAGCAAACAGAAAAACUGUCUCAUGCAGAAGUGGUUCAAUGAUCUUGUGUACGUCCACUGCAAUCUGCAUCGUGUAUUGAACAGCAAGCUGAAGUACAACAAUCCACUUCACGACUUCGUGCAUGAUGAAGAGGAUCCGAUGAUUGGUUAACUUAAGGACCAAUAGCAGGAGCCAGAGCUGGAUAAGCCAAAGUCGCCUCCUCGACAAAUCAAUUUUUUGUAGCUCAAUAGACUAUGGUGGAUGCAAAGUAAUAGACAAAACAUACUCCAUGCUCGCUUCUAGCUGAUCAACCAUAGGAGUGGAGGGAAGCCAAUCAUCGCACGGCUUCACGUUGGAGACAUCCUCCUAGUGAUUUGAUCUAGAGUUACUAAGGAGAGGCUACCAUAAUACCCAAUCUAGUCAAAGUAGAGGGCCCAGUCAAUCCUUCCAGCAGAGCCAAGCAUCUAAGGACAUCCAAGAAAAGAAGGCAAGGGCUCAAGCCAACAAGAAAGAAAAAAGGAAAGGCAGCUACACAUCCAUUGGAGAGUUAAGGAGAAGCCUGUUCACUCAGAUUCUGAGACAGAUCAUCCCACCAUAGCAGCAAUGUCGACGGCUUAAGCGAUGAUGCAUCUGGUGGCUAGGAUGAUACAACAGCUUAUGAUUCAUAGUCCUAGGAUAAUCUCUGCUUCACCGAUAUCCCACUUCAGUCAUGCCACAGGAUAAGAACCAUGGUGCACGACUUGGUAAAACCUGCAAGGAUAGCAUUGCGUACAGGAGACAGAUCCCACAAGGUCGUUCAGGACAUAAUGCUGCUACAGAUAAUCGAGCACGUGGAAUAGGAUACCUAGACAUAUCUGGAACCGAGUUGUACAUUGGAUCCUAUUCUACCCGAGCGUCGGCCUCCCUUUCUUUUCCUCUCCCUCUCCCUCUCCCAGCUGCUCGCUCGCUCUCUCUUUUCCUCUUUUCUUCUCCUCCUCUGGCAACGGGUUUCGUUUCCAUUGCCAGAACCGUCCCAAUCUGCCGCCAGGACAGCUUGGUACGAUCGAAACUGCCUGAUUCAGGACAGUUCCACCGACUCUGGUACCAACUAAUUUAACCUGGUCUUAAACUCAAAGAAUCUAAAAUGCUAUCAUGAUUACUUUAAUUCACAAGAAAAAGAUACAUAUAACAAAAUCCCAACUUAAUUGCUACUUUGAAAAGAUAACCAUCCAAAAACUACUAAGAUCUAGUAGAGCCUCCAUCGAACUCCAUUAAUCUACUCCUUAGAAGUUAUCAAGAAAAAUCUACAUGUUAAUAAGCCAAUUGUUGAAGUCCCCCCCCCUCCUCUCAAUAUUUCAAUAAAACAUAUAAAGUACAUUUAAAUGCUAAAUUUUGAACUUCAGUAUUCAACAAUACUAUUCUAGAUCACCCCACCACCAAAAUUACCAUUUGAACUUCCCUCUUCAGUAUGAAUCUCCAAUGAUGAGCUACAAGAAUACAUACAAACUCCAUAUAGAAGAUCUAUUACACAUAAGCAAGUUGGAAUAUUGAGGAAAAUCAAGAAUAUUAUUAGAAUUAGGAUUUUUGUUAAUUUUUUGGUCUUUUGAGUCAACUAUAAUUCAAAAGGUAUAACUUUAGUUAUACAGUAAGCUGACUCUAAGAUUGAGUCCUACAAGUUUUAUGUUUUGAGAUUUAGCUUGGUUGGUCAUUAUGAGGGUCAAAAGUUGGCUUAAAUUUUCAAAAUGGGAUAAGUGUUAAGUUUGUGUCAUUUUAGGAAAUUUUUCAUGUAGUUUUUGGGUUGAAUUAGAAGUCCUAGGUUGUUAUUGGUUAGGAAAUUAUUUUAAGUGUCCUAGUUGAUUCACGUGUAGUUCUAUAAAUUGUCAUUAUAGAUUGCAGAAGCCAUACAUACGAAUUUAUUGAUGUAUUUUCUCUAAAUUAUGAAUAAAUUUCUUCUCAUGGUUGAUUCGAUGAAAUCUAGGGUCACUCCUUAGAUUCCUGUCCUUACUCAUUUGUCUUAUUUGGUACCGCAGCCUCGUCAAGUGCUCGUGGAGUCAUGGACAUGUUUGAGCGUGAAAGAACCAAUGCCGAUCAAAGAGAAAGUUGUGAGAAAUCCAUUGCACCGAUUGAUGGGAUCGUGAGUCGUCUAGAGUUCAUGCAACUCACAACAUGUUGUCACUGACUUAGCUAACCGGUUGAAGCAAUCUGGGAUUCUUAGACCUAGUAACACUCUAGUUAAUUGACAUGAUCGGUGAUCUCCUUAUGACCUCAAAUUUCCUUACAAGGAAUCAUACAAAUUGGAGAGAGAGAAUUUUUUGGAUGAGACGUACAAUGGGUGGUCGGUUGUGCAAUAUGAUCAUCAACAUAUGAUCACUUGGAAAUUGCAUGUGGUGGAGCCACAUCCAAAGCCUUAUCAAACAUGCACAACACCUACUCCAAUUUCAACGAAGUCAAUAUGCAAGAAAGAUGAAGACAAACAAGUUUCAGCUAUUGAUGAAGAAAUUGAAGACAAUCGUGUAAAUUACAAGGUUCAUCACAUCACAGCCAAUCAAGUUGAAGCCCCUCAAGUAGAAGAAAUUCAUAAAAAGAUAACAGAAAAAUCAAGUGGCCUACAAGUUGAGGAAUCAUCAUGCAGAGCAUCUCAUUAACCAAUAUCUUUAGUUACGCAGGAUGAAUAUGAAGAUCCCUUCGUAAUGUUCUUUUUGAAGAACUCAUCAAUUGGAGUACUACUAGCAUCUUAUGGCUUUCAAUGCAAUUUUUUAUCAUAUAGUUCACUGACUUGAAGCAUAAAGAGCAUAACAAAUCAUCCUUCAAAUUAUCAAAUCUGUGCAAGAACUAAUUUGUAUACACCAUUAUGAGUCCUUACAAUGAGCCAAAAGAAAACUUAGUUUGAUCCCACAGACACUAGGACUCCCUAAUAUAUCCAGUGGUGGACAGAACAUAUAAAACCAUUGCUUUUGACAACUGGAUGGGUAAAAGGAGCAAAGGCCUAUCUAGUCCAUAUAGAACAUUAUAGCAAGCAUACGGCUUCACUCUUUCUCACUUAAGAUGAUGUCGCACCCAAUUACAUGGUUGGCUCCUUUUAUGGCUGAAUGCCUAAGGCUGCUGACUUGGCAAAAUCAAAGCAGGGAACUAAACCUUAGAGACCAUUUCUAGAUCUAAUCUAGGUUGUCCAUCAACUAGACACUUAAAUUAAUCAAAAUAACCAAUCUAAACACCUAAAAUAUCAGAUCUAAGAUUGGCAAUAACUGAAAAUAAGAAAAAUUAAACA
rnacentral:lncRNA from 1 species